UGUGCAUAUCUGACGGAGAGCUUACCAGGAGCAGGAGGCCUAUCAUUUGGUGUAGUUUAUGUCUUUUUUAUUUUUUAGUGAGACCAUAUGGAAUGUGGCAAAGUAUCUUAGUGUGGGAUUAUUCGAACCUGUUUAUGACGCGUCCUUUGUUUUGUGCAUUUGUCGUUUGUGUCUUCUUUUUAGCGAGAACCAUACUGAUAUGACAAAAGUUGUGUGUUAACACAUGCAAGUUAAUACUUUCUACCUCUGUUUUAUAACUUGAGUUUUUAUGUUUCUUGAUAGUUCAUGCUUUAAUGCACAGGGAAGUUGCAUGUGUUUUAGUACUAGAGUUGGCAUGUUCUCACAUCUGGUAGAGGCAACUCUAGAUUUUAUGAACAGAUACGGUUGCACAGCUCUUUUUUCCCCAGAGUUGCUUCAAAAAUGAACAUAGUUGCUUCAGUUAACUGUUUGAGUUGUCAGGUUACUUUCCUGGUCAGGGUUGCUCAUGAACCCCAAGCACCUUAUACUAGGAUAGGAAAGAAAGCCAAGCAGGUUUCAAUGCAUACAAUAUAGAGAAAUUAUGUUUUGCUGUUGCAAUGCACCUGCAAAAAUGCGCAAUGGUCCUGCAUUUUCUUUCCCACUAGAGUUGCCCUAUUUUUGUACUGGUGUUGCUUUUUUGUAUCACAAUAGUUGCUCAAGAUGCAUGCCAUACAUAGAGUUGGCUCAAAGCAGUCUACAAGUUGCUUUUUCACCAGAUCAAAAGAACAAACUAAAAACUAGACUAGUUGAUGUUCAAGCAGGGAAUAGCAGGGGUGGUUGAGUAGGGAAGAGAGCGGAGUUGGGUGGAGGUGGUGCUUACCUUUUGGGGGGGGAGGUAGGUCUGAUUUUUCUCUCUACAGAUCUGAUUUUUGGAGCAAGGAGGAGGAAGGAGGUGUUCUUGCGUCAGUUUUGUUCUUCAAGACGCCAUAGAUGGGGCAGAUCUUGUUUAGAGGAGGAAAGGCAGGAGCAAGGAGGAAGAAGGAGACCCAUGCGUGGGCGUGUACUUCAAGGAAAAUGGAGGAGGGGGUCGCGUGAGGCGUCCGCAAGGGGAGCGUGGGCGGGGGUGCAUGGAGGGGGUGGGGACCGAAGCCUGGGGACGACAGGUGCGGGGAAGCGGGGGCCAGGGGGACCAGGUGUGAUCGGGGCACGCGCGCAAUCCACCCAUGAUUUGCGCGGGCUUGGAUUGGUCGGUUUCGCGCGCGGGGAGCUGCUUUCUGUUUUUGGCUGUCUGGUCGCGCGGGCGGCUCCUUCCUUUUCUGGGAGAGCGCUCGGGGCUGCGAUCGGGCCCCCGUGCGCCCGUGAGCCAUGUCCGUUAUUAUCUACUGAAAGACAUGGUAUGUGCAACAAAGGACCGGUCCAGUAACCAUAAGCAAUUCUGUCCUGAUGAUAUGCAGAAACAUCAAACUGACAACAAAGAAUGGAAACAAUGGCAAGGAACUCAAGUCAUCCUCAUAUAAGCUAUCAUCCAACAAGGGCAAUUCAGACAUCCAGCUCAGGUUAAGGAUCUUUGGUUUCUAAGCCAAAAAUCUUGAAAUGCUAACUUAUUUAUACGCUAUUUGCAAGACUUGCAAAAUAAAGGACACUCUUGCAAGAUUUGCAGGUACAAGGACACAAAUUUUAAAACAGUUCAUGAGUAACAAACAGGUUUGCACCUCGAGUACAAACGUAUGCAUGUAGACUUCUUAGAAGUGCAUGUAAGUUCUUUGAAAGGCAAUGCCAACGGGUAUGUGCGCACGCAGAUUAUCUUCUUCUCACAUAAAGACAUACCGGUAUGCAUCUAUUUUUCCUGCACCCUUUUGCCAAAGUGGCCUGGUUCUCUGAAGUCUGAACCAUGGUGCACUAGAUCUGAAUAUAUUGUUCCGAACAUUGGCAACAUUAAUUCCUGCAACUGUGAAAGCUACACUGGAUUCCAAUCCAAUCACUUAUGGUGUAUAUGGAAGUCCAGGAAUGACAACCUUUUUCGGAAGAAAGGAUAGUGCACCUAUGUAGCUACUUCUGCAGAUCAUGAAAACUCAUCCUUAGAGCCAACUUCGAUGCAGAAUGAAACAACUAACAAUAUUCCUAAGCAGGGCACUUCAAUGACACCAGAUUCAAUAAUAAUCACAGGUUGUAAGGUCUACUCUGAUCGAUGCUACAUGGACAAAGAGUACAUGCAAUUAUCAUCCAGGAGAUAACAGGACUAGCAUUGGAAGGAUGCAUGUGCAAUUCGAUGAAGCAGGGCAUAGUACUGACUGUUAUCCUCAUUUCUUCAGCUGGCAGAGCAACAUUUUGCAGAAGUUGGUGAGGGCACUUCACAGCAGAACAAUCACCCUGGAAAUAGCGAUAGCAGCGAACCGCUAGGAGGAGCACAACAGCAAAAGACCAACUAGACGCAAAGUUCACACAGAAGACAGUCGACAGCAAACUGAGAUAAAACACCUGCCCAAUAACGAAGAAAAACACAAAAGUAGCAGAUCAGCUCUAAAGGAGCCGAAGGUAACUUCUUGUCAAAACAAGCUUUGUUGCAAGUUUUGCAGAGAGACCAGAGACCAGCAGAAUGCCGCAAUCCAAACAACAUGCCCACUCAAGUAGAAUAUUGAGUGAAGCAGAUGGGUCUAUCAUGAAUCCCAAGAGUAUUACAUAUAGUGCUCCACAUGUAAGCAGCAACUGAGCAAGAGAAAAAAAACAUGAUUUACAGUUUCGUAGGUCACUGGUUCAAGUCCUGGAAACAACCUCUUGCAGGAAUGUAGGGAAAUGCUGCAUCCUAAAGACCUAAAAUGGUUGGACCCUUCCCCGAACCUUGUGCAAGCGGGAGCUACAUGCACCGGGCUGCCCUUUACAGUUUCAUAUUCCUCACAGAAAUUGCAUGUGAAUCACCCACCCACUUCCUUUUCUUCAUAUUGUCUUUAGUGGCUAUGGCAUUGUGCUAGAUCAUCCAUAGCCAGAUUUUAAUUUGAAGAGGGGUUCUAGCUUUCCACAUCGGUUGAAAGUCUACUCGGGAUCGAUCGGAACAAGUGAUUAUACAUCAAUUUCACAGGUUUCUUUGCUACAACAGAUGCUCUGCAAACCCAAGCAAUUCAUAUAUUUAGAGAACUCAAUAGGGAAGCUCACAAUUGUGCGUCAAUUUCUUCUAGAAUAUAUCAGGAGUGAGGAGUAUAAUAUUGAAAUGUUGUAGCUCGGUACACAGUGGGGUUUAAUGCCCCUAUGCUUUCAAAGCUAGGCAAUCUCAAUGCACAUGAUUUUUGAAUCCUGAUUGUAAACUGUGUCUGCUACUCCUGCGAGUAAGGGUAUGUCCCACUUCCUCGCCACAUGAUCUCUCUGUUUGUGGGGGGGGUACCUAGGCAAGCAAGAGCUUCAAAAUUGGGACGGUGGCGGCGGGGUGAUUGUGUGAGCUAGGGGUUUUUGCGGUUCUGAGUGCAUGCGCAAGGAGGUUUUAUACCACGACCACAGAAUGGCAAAGCAAAUUUCUAGGCUUAUACAUAACUUUGUCAAGCUCACAACCGCAAAUUAUGACAAAUUUUACUUUGCCGAGGACAUGGGGAAGGUUUAUAAAGAAAGUAAAAAUUAGAAAGUUUGACUUUAAAAAAAUGUUAUAUGCACAGUUAUUUGGCAAGGAGGGAGUAUAAUUGCUAGAGCAUUAGUAUUAAAUAUAAAGUGCAAUUCAUUUUGGAAUUUUAGAAAGACCCCCUCCCCUAGAUGGCUAUUUCCUACUUUGAACUAUAUGAUGGUCGUCUGCCUAAAGCAUAAAAUUCAAUAGGCACCAUUGCAGCGCCCUGCCCGAGACUGGCCUUAAUUUAACCUCUCAUUGCACAUGUGUCAUUAGUGUGCGGACCAGAGUUGAGACAACUCUAUUUAUAGGGAUUAUACAUGGUGGAUCUCGAGAAAGGUGACGAGCUAAUAACCGUGGACACGCUAAGAUACUCCCAAUACAUGAUUAAGUUUUUCUCAUUCCCCGAAUUACCUUUUGUCUUGCAAAUGCUAAAUAUAUCAAUAUAUCCUCAUUGGUGCAGAGUGUAUAGAAAGGAAGUUGCAGAACUGCCGCUUGUCGGGACUCAGUUCACACAUUGUCGGCAACGAAUAAUGUGCCACAUCCUAAUGAACCAAAUGGAAAAGCUAUGUCUAAUGCUUAGGUUGUUCAGAGCAUAUUUCUUGGCUUCUACAAAAUGUUUUCAAGUUCACAAUCGCAAGUUAUGACAAACAUUUACUUAAUUACUUUGCCAAGGACAUGGAGAGGGUUUAUACACUUGUUCAUAGUUUACAAAGUUUGACUUCUAAAAAUUAUUAUAUGUAUAGUAAUUUGUCAAGGAGGGAGUAUAAUUUAGUAUAAACAUCAUCAUAAUUCCAACAAAUAGUCUCAAAUUAGCAUUAUCAUUUUGGAAUUUUAGAAAGGGGGGCCAUGCCCCCCCCUCCGGUUCGCUCGUGUGACAUAUCGGCUCGUAACCGAUGCGAACACCCGCGAUCCGCCGGAAAAACUCAAUUUUGGUAUUCAUCUUCGCAUCACGUCCGCCGGCCGGAAGCAUCCUAGCUGUGUCUCGCGUUAGCGUCGGACGAUCAUGGACAUCGUGAAGUAUGUCGAGUUCAUGGUUGACGGCGGCCGGGGCAACAUUUAGAUAUAGCUAGCACGGUAAAUAUAGGAAAGUACUAGCAUACUGCUUCUCAUAGAUAAUGCAUUUUUUGGUAAGGAGGGAGUAUAAUUUAGUCUAAACAUCAUCAAAAUAGUGCUAAAAUUAAAUAUGUGGUACAAUUUUUUUGGAAUUUUAGAAAGAGGCCAUGGCGAGCGCGUCGGAGUGGAGGUCCGAGAGGGAGAGGCCACAACGAAUCUACCAACAGAUGAAGAGCAGCAUAUCCGCUACUCCUGUGAGUAUGACGGGUAUGUCCCACUUUGCCACCACAUGACGUGUGUGUAGGGGGGUGCUAAGGCAAGGAAGAUCUUCAAAAUUGGGAGGGUGGCGGUGGGGUGGCUUUUUGAGCUAGGGGGUUCUGCGGUACAAGUGGCACACAACAACGAGGAGGGUUUAUACCACGCUAUACCUGGCCAAACCACGGGCCGGGCCUAGCCAAGCCCGAGCCAAAAACCUGGGCCCGAGCCCGGCCCGGCCAUCGGGCCUAGUUUUUGGGCCCAAGCCCGGCCCGAACAUGCAAAAGCCCGCCAAGCCUCGGGCCUUGGGUCGGGCCCCUUUAGAAAACUGCAAAAAUGCCGGGCCCGGGCCCGGCCCGGCCAGGCCACCGGGCUCAAAAUCUAGGCCCGAGCCCGGCCCGGGAGCAGCGUCGGGCCGGGCCGGGUCGGGCUUUUUCGGGCCGGGUCGAGCCAGGCCGGCCGGGCCGGGCUGCCCAUGGCCAGGUCUAUACCACGCCCACAGAAUGACAAAGCAAGUUUCUAGGCUUCUACAAAAUGUUUUCAAGUUCAUGACCGCAAAUUAUGACAAAAUUUACUUUGUUGGGCACAUGUCAAGGAUUUAGAAACUUGAUGAAAAAUUAUAAAGUUUAACUUUAAAAAAUAUAUUAUAUGUAAAGUAAUCUGGCAAGGAGGGAGAUAAUUUAGUUUAAACAUCAUCAUAAUUCUAAGAAAAUAGUCUGGAAAUAGCAUUGAAGUGCUAGAGCAUUAGUAUUCAAUACAAACUGAAAAUCAUUUUGGAAUUUUAGGAAGGGGGCAUGCCCCCCUCCCCUACCAAGAAUUUUGGAAGAAUUGGAUGAAGCAUGAACUUAAUAUGCACCGCCGCGCAGUGCCCUAGCCGAGACGACCAUAAGUUAACCUCUUGUUUCCGCUUUGUUUUGGAUCGCAACUAACUUGGAGACGCGAUAUUACAAGUCACUACGAGAGACAAAGUUCAAUUCAUGUGCUCCCUAUGAGAUCGUUGCUCUUAUUUCGAAAAGUCUAUAACUAAAUCAUGUGCGCUUGCAAGACAUCAACCUUCAAACCUUCACAAACUUUUCGGGUGUAAAUCACAAGUUGAUUCCUCGCUGGAGUAAUCCUAUCACCUUGGAGUUUCCAACCUCCAAGAGCAACAAAAACAAAAGGGAAAUGCUAAAGACUGGCUCAAAUCAUGAAUCACUUUGGUCAAAAGAGAGAGCAGGAUUUGAUAUGCUUGGGUGAAAUCUCUCUCAAUUUUCUCAAGAAUUCCCCAAUAAAUCUUUGAUCCGAUGGUAGGGAAGUGAGAGGGAGCCUCUUCUUAGAUUUGGUCAAGUGUAUAUGGACUGGUCAACCCCUCCGCUGAGUGGUUGUCGGUGUCAAAACCGGCGGAUCUUGGGUAGGGGGUCCCGAACUAUGCGUCUAGGCCGGAUGGUAACAGGAGGCAAGGGACACGAAGUUUUACCCAGGUUCGGGCCCUCUCGAUGGAGGUAAAACCCUACGUCCUGCUUGAUUAAUAUUGAUGAUAUGGGUAGUACAAGAGUAGAUCUACCACGAGAUCAGAGAGGCUAAACCCUAGAAGCUAGCCUAUGGUAUGAUUGUUGAUGUGUAUGUUGUCCUACGGACUAAAACCCUCCGGUUUAUAUAGACACCAGAGAGGGUUAGGGUUACAUAGAGUCGGUUACAAUGGUAGGAGAUCUGAAUAUCCGUAUCGCCAAGCUUGCCUUCCACGCUAAGGAAAGUCCCUUCCGGACACGGGACGAAGUCUUCAAUCUUGUAUCUUCAUAGUCCAGGAAUCCGGCUAAAGGUAUAGUCCGGCCAUCCGGACACCCCCUAAUCCAGGACUCCCUCAGUAGCCCCUGAACCAGGCUUCAAUGACGACGAGUCCAGCGCGCAAAUUGUCUUCGGCAUUGCAAGGCGGGUUCCUCCUUCAAGUACUUCAUAGAAGAUUUUAAACACAAAGAUAGUGUCCGGCUCUGCAAAAUAAGUUUUCCACAUGUUGCCACAGAGAGAAUAAUAUUUACACAAAUCUAAUCUGUUGACGUGUUCCGUAGUGUGACACACCACGGCCAAGCCUUUAUCCGAGUCGUUUCAUUAUCCCACCUCAGCGCGUCAUGCGAGGCAGCUUCCUUGGCACGUCUUGUCAAAGCAGAGAUCGUGUCCCCUUAUUCCGGGAUUCUCAUCAAUACGGGCGUGGGUAACCCAACCACUUCUAGGACUCCUAGAUUAUAGGCAAGUCCAAACGGACACGGAGACGACGCUCGAUAUUCACCCUCUUUAUAAAGGGACGAGGCUUUUUAUUUUUCCCUCCCGUGCUCAAUCGAAUCCUUCCCCUACCUCAAGCUCUAACACCCAAAGUACGGGUCAGGUGCUCCAAACCUUCAAUCAUGUCCGGAUUUAGCCUUCAAGGCCGAUGGGUGCCUUCUUCCGUCACGGAAGAAGACGUCAAAAAGUUGAGGGAGGCCAGAUAUCUGACUGUCGAGAUUUGGCAUCGGCUUCCUCCCCGGGGGCAGGCCGUCCCCUCCCCCGAACCCAAUGAGAGUGUCGUGUUCGUCUCUCACUUCCUCCGAGGUCUAGGCCUUGCAUUAGAUCCUUUUGUCAGGGGCUUGAUGUUUUACUACGGGCUAGAUUUCCAUGAUCUAGCUCCGGACUCCUUUCUUCAUAUCACGACAUUUAUUGUUGUGUGCGAGGCCUUCCUCCGGGUUACCCCUCACUUUGGCCUAUGGCUCAAGACCUUUGAAGUAAAGCCGAAGAUGAUCGAGGGGCAACAUGCGGCAUGUGGAGGUGCUUCAAUACACAAGAUGACGGGAGCUGCAUGGCCCAAAGGUUCUAUUCCAGAGGUGUCUGAAUUGUGGCAACAGGAGUGGUUCUACAUCACGGCUCCUAGAAGUGCCAAGUGGGCGGCCGCCCCCGUUUUCCGCCCAGGCCCUCCUCCACAACUAAUGUCAUGGAUUAGCAGAGGAUUGAGCUGGGGUCCGGCCAAGGACGUGCUUAUACUGCAAAGCCGCAUUCAAGAUCUCUUUAACGGAGAUUUCAGUUUGGUUGCGGUAACACAAGUUAUGCUGGUUCGUCAAGUCCAGCCUUGCAAACGCCGGCCUCUUCGCUUGUGGGAGUUCAAUCCCGAGGGACUGCGCGCCAUUCGAAAUUUCCUCGGCCUGACGCACGAGGAGAUGUACAAGUUGUGCUUCGGACCUCAAGUGGAGUGUCCGCAAAUUAUCGAGGACAUGGGCCUGAGUAGCAACCGUGCCGCCGAACAGGUAAGGCAUCUUCUGACCGAGCGUACUACCUCUCCUUUGAUGCGAAGUUAUUUCUGGGAGUUCGCUUUUUGACCAGGACUGGCUAACGAAGGCGAAGUUGAUUCAGUGCUCGGCCCCCCUCCCUGAGGGUUUGGAAAAUCCGAUAUUGGAGAAGAUGCUCCAGCCCGCACCUUGCCCGGAGCCCUUGAAGGAAAAUGCGGGCGGUCGCGGGCCCCAAACGCUGGCCGCUCUAGUCGAGGGAGCGAGCAUCUCCAUGAAGGAAGAUGACUAGAAGAGGAAAAGGAUUGUGACUGUGGAUUCGGAAGCCGAAGCUUCCAAACGGGAGAAGAAGUCUCCAACAGAGGGUCCUACCCGGGGGGGUGCGGUUGCCGCACAAAGUCCAUGGCGGGAUCAAUUCUCCCAUGAGUCGUAAGUGACCCAAAAUACCUUAGUAGUACAGAUAUGUCGUCUUUUCUUCUGAGGAGAUAACCACUGCAUAUAUCUUUGAAGUUCGGGCCUUAGCCCCUCUCAAAUGAGCUCGUCUUCGGGGGAUCUUCUUCCAGAGAUGAUGGAGAGUGAAACGCCUCCUCCGGACUCCUCCGCUCCGAAAGCGGGCGACCCUAAAGUGUCGUCGUGGAGGGCCUCUCUGAGUCCGGCAAGGCCAGAAGAUAAUCCCGUCGACCCCCGAAGUUCCCAGCGUCCGGCUCCCGAAGAGAGCAGACAAACGAGUCCGGUGCCGUCUAGUGUGUGGUCGGAUGUUCUAAGGGAGUUGGUGGGGCGAGCGGCCAUCUUAGAUGAACACCGUGUGCUGAUGAAUACGAUGAUGGAGAGAAUCUUGUCUGCCGAAAGCGGAUUGCAUAAAGCUUUUAUGAGUCUACUGACAGGUUUUGAGGUACGUAAAAUAAUGUAUGAUAAUCCUGCACAUGCUAAGUGUGCCCUAUGUAGAUAGUAGCCCCUGAGACUCUGGUUGUCGUUGGGAACGACAACGAUCAGAGGAUCAUAAUCCCAGGUAGUAACCAUACUGCCUCUAUGGGCAGGUGAUGGAAGCUCCGGUGGCUAGCCGGACUAGCAAGUUUGCCCAUUUAAGACGGCAAUUGGAUGCGGCGGACGCCGACAUCGAGCUUGUUAACAAAAGGCUUGACGAGGCCAGGGUAAGUGUUAUUAUCUGUUAAAUGCCGCAUAGUAAGAGCAGCAUGAAGCCAGUAUAUUUAACAUGUUAUGAUUGCAGAUGGAGCUGCCACUGUUGAAGCCUUGCGGGCGGAACUUGCCUGAGCCAAGGAACAAGCGAAAUUGGAUAAUGCGGCUACUUUGAAGGCAGCCGAAGAGUUGCGAGCUGAGAAGGCCGCGCAUGGCGAGAGCCGAGAUAAGAUGGCCAAUAUGGCCAUAGAAUUAAAAGCCGCCGUCGACCGUUGCCGGGUUCUUGAAAAGGAAAACCAGGCGAAGGCAUCGGACCUCGAGAAGGCUGCUGCAACAGGAAAAGACCUCCGCUCUGCUAUGAGGGCAAAGAAGGAGGAGCUACGGGAAGCCGGGGAUAUCGUAGGUGGGAAACCCUUUAUGUUGCAGAGGAAGUUCGGAGAUCCACGGUAUGCCCCUUUGGAUCGGCUGUGGAGUUCGGAGGAUGCGUAUAUGGAUUUGGCGGCGAGCGCUGCCGAUGCGGCCAAGUACUUCAAGGGUCAGACAGACCGUGAAGUGGACCAGCUGUUUUGGACACAAUUCCAUUCUCCCGAGCGUCCACUUUUGUUGUCUGACCAACUAGCGGAAUGGGCCGAACUGAAUAGGUUGUCCGGACUCGCCAUGAGGUCUGUUGUGGAUCAGCUAUGGCCGGAAAGGAUAAAACCGAAUAGCUAUUUUAGCUUGGUGCAGCAGUUCCUUGAUGUGGUGCCGCACAUUAAUGCGAUGAAGAGGUUGGCGUGCAUAGAAGGCGCACGAAUGGCCUUUGCCCGUGCUAAAGCAUACUGGGCAGAGAUGGAUGCUACCACUGUUGCAGCGCAGGAUUCGGCCGUAGGUCGAAGGGCUGCUGAGCACUACUUUGAGGAAGUUCUUGAGGGUGCUCGUUUGAUAGAGACUCAGUGCUCAAAAAAUAUUAUGUUUGAGUGAUAUGUAAUCGCAUUGUAAGCGAAAUAUUUUUAUAAAUUUUCAUAAGGCUACUUUUAUACUUUUGCCUAAAAGUAAUGUGAUGCCUCCUGGGCAGCCGUUUAUGUAUACAUGUGUAUAACCUGAAAGAUUACAGUUGUCGGCUUCAACCCCCACGCAUAUAAUGCAGAGGUGUUCGCAGAAACACGCGUUCACACUUAACCCAACGUCUUGGUCCUAUUAAGGAGGUGAUAGCGGAGCGAGCGAGGCAACCAGACUAUAAUGCUUUAACACUUUCACUUAGCCAUAGGAGUUUGAUAGUGGGGCUACUAGAUAGCCCCUGGUGGCUCCGUACUCUCCCGAUCUUGGGGUGCGUACAUGCCUGGCCGAAAAACGGCCCUUUGUUAAGGCGGAGGAAUUCUAUCAUUCCCAUGGGUCAUCGAGUGGUUGACCAGUCUCACGCUAGAUCAUGACAGUCAGUUUUCGGCUUUCUCUACUAAGGUGCUCGUCCGGAUGAACCGGGGCACAAUCGCAGUAGUUCUCCUGGUGCUACCUUAGCCGGUAAAGCGGAACGUAAGGCACCAAAACACAGGAGCCGGGCAAACCCAACAUUUGACCAAAGACAAUGAUUCAGAGCUAAUGCAUAUAGGGCCAAACUCGCAACGCCGAACACUCCCUAAGGUAUUCGGUCUUUGUAGUAUAAACCAGGCCUAAGUAAUGGCCUUCGUAAGAAGCCCCUUAUGUCCAGGUACGUGCAUUGGUCUGGCGUGGCCACAUGCCAAGACGUCAGCAUCCUUCUCAACGGUGGAUAUGUAUCAACAAGAGACAGUAAAAAAGGUUUACGCAGGGUCUUAAUCUAAAAAAAAUCCUUGGGGCGGGUCCCUGCUGCACGUCUGCGCCUGUGUCUCCAUUGUGCCGUAUCCUGGACGGGUGUAGCACGAUGAUCGUCUGUAAAAGAGAGGAAGUUAGGUGAAAAAAGUUGUUGUGCAAAAAGUAUAGUUUGUUAAAGAAACUAUGCAUAAUUCAAGAUGAGGAGAGAUGGUCGUGUGUCUGCGCGCGUUGAGCCCCUUGUAUCGAAUAGGGGUGUGACCAUUUGGUCAGUAUAAGUAGCGGCGCCGGAUUUGAUUAGUUGUGUCUGAGGUCUUGACGACCUAUGGGACGCUUUGGCUAGUCCGGGCGCCUUUAGUGUGCGGCUGCCAAGGCAGCCUCACUCUCUUCGGCGCGCAGAGAUCGCUUGAUAUUUCCGUGCACUGAAAUGAUGCCGUGUGGACCGGGCAUCUUGAGUGUGAGGGAGGCGUAGUGUGGUAUUGCAUUAAAGCGAGCGAAAGCUUCGCGCCCGAGCAGUGCUUGAUAGCCACUUUGAAACGGAGUGAUGUGGAAGGUUAAAUGCUCGCUACGGAAGUUAUCGGGGGAGCCAAAUAUAACUUGUAGUAGGAGGGAGCCCGUACAAUGAGCCCCUGGGCCUGGCGUUACUCCUUUGAAGGUAGUAUUGCUAUGGCGAAUUUGUGUUGGGUCUAACCCCAUCCUGCGGAUUGUAUCCUGAUAUAUUAGAUUUAGGCUGCUGCCGCCGUCCAUCAAGACUCGUGUGAAGUGGUAUCCGCCAAUUACUGGGUCUAAUACCAUGGCAUCCCAUCCUGCGUGUCGGAUACUUGCUAAGUAGUCGUGAUGAUCGAAAGUGAUUGGUUGAGACGACCAUUGGCAGGACUUCGCGGUGACAUGCACUUGGGUAUAUUUUCCUGGGGGUGCCGCAUUGUUUUUUCCCUUGAUCAUAUGUAGCAUGUUUACUGUUUUGACUUCUGGUGGGAAUUUCUUUUAUUCCCCCGUGUCAUGCUUGGGAGGCUCGUCCCCGUCUUCACUUGGUGUAUCCUCCCCCUUGUGUACGGCAUUGAGUUUGCCGGACUGCUUGAAGACCCAACAUUCUCUGUGGGUAUGAUUAGCAGGUUUGCUAGGGGUACUGUGGAUCUGACAUACUUGGUCCAGAUUUUUGUUGAGGCUGGACAGUUCAUCCCUGGUGCCUUUAGUGGGCGGCUUUUGACCUGGUCGGGAGCUUUUGAAUCCGGCAUUUACUGUCGUGCCCUUCGUGUUGUCUUCUUUAUUCCGGCGUUUGUUGUUGCUAUUGCGCCGUGAUUUCCCGUUUCCAUCUCUAACUUCAGAUGUACUGGGGUCGCUGGUGCUGCAUCUGGCUAGCCAGCUGUCCUCACCCGCGCAAAAGCGGGUCAUGAGGUUUGUUAAUGCGGCCAUCGUUCUCGGCUUAUUUUGGCCGAGGUGUCUGGCGAGCCAUUCGUCACGGACGCUAUGCUUGAAAGCUGCCAAGGCUUCGGCGUCUGGACAGUCGACAAUAUGGUUCUUUUUAGUAAGAAACCUGUUCCAAAGCUUUCGGACUGACUCUCCGGGCUGUUGAGUUAUGUGACUCAAAUCGUCCGCAUCCGGAGGUCGGACAUAAGUUCCUUGAAAAUUUGCUCGAAAGACGUCUUCGAGCUCUUCCCAACUUCCAAUGGAGCUUUCGGGGAGGCCUUUGAGCCAGUGACGAGCUGACCCUUUGAGCUUGAGGGGUAAGUACUUGAUGGCGUGGAGAUCAUCUCCUCGAGCCAUAUGAAUAUGAAGGAUAUAGUCCUCAAUCCAAACCCCAGGGUCUGUUGUUCCAUCGUAUGCCUCUAUGUUUACGGGCUUGAAUCCCUCUAGAAAUGCAUGGUCCAGCACCUCAUUAGUGAAACAUAGGGGGUGUGCGGCACCCCUGUAGCUGGGUGUACCGCAUUGUUCGGAUGUUUGUUGUGUUGCGUUGUAUGCUGGGGCGCGCUUGCGUGGUCCAUAGAUGGAUCUUGUUGCACCGUCCUUUGGGUGCAAACCCUCGCAUGGGUCGCGUGUUGUAUUGUGGGUGGCGUUGUAUGCCGCUCUGUGUUGAUAGAGGGGUCGUCUAUCCGACCAGGUGGCUGCUUUGGUAUUUGGUUGUGGGGGGUCUGAGGCCUCCUCAUCGAAUUCAGGUAGCAGCUUCCGCUUUGGGUAGCUCUUGGAGGGGCGAUUGUCGCCAUACAUCGCUGAUGUGCUGAGUAUUUUACUCCAUCUGAUUUGGAAUGUGUCUUGCGCAGCCUUGAGCCUUUGCUUCUGUUUUUUCAGGCUCCUUGCGGUAGUAACAAGCCUUUUAUGGGCAUUCUGCUGCUCCGAGUGCCUGUCCGGCGUUAUGUCGUCCGGACCAUUAUCCUUGAUGGAAUUUGUUUGUCCGGUUUGAUUAUCCAGAUUGUCAUUGUCCGGUAGCGGUUCGUCCUGCUCCAGCGCUGGGUCUGUGGGACCGCUAUUUCUGUCGGGGCGGGAUUUGGGGCGGCGCUUGCGUCGCCGUUUUGACUGCUUUUCGAGGGAACAAGCCUUCGGUGCGUCCUUCCGCUCCUCGUCAUCAUCUUUUGGUGCGUCCACCAUGUAUACGUCAUAUAACGGGGUGGCGUUCCAGGGCCCAGUAGGCGCUGGUUCUUCAUCGUCUCCUUCAUCGCCGUCCAUACCGUCGAUAUCUUCGGAGUCGAGGUCGAGCCUGUCGGUUAAGUCGUCGACAGUGGCUACCAAAUGGGUGGUGGGUGGGAAUUGAAUUUCUUCAUCGUCCGUGCCCUAACCUUGCUGACCGCAGUUCGGCCUGGGCUCUCCUGAUAAAGAGAGAGACUUCAGUGUUUUCAGGAUAUCGCCGAAAGGCGAGUGCUGAAAGGUGUCUGCGGCCGUGAACUCCAUAAUCGGCGCCCAAUCGGAUUCGAUUGGAAGGGGCGCGGGGGGUUCAGAGUCCGGAGAAGAAUCCGGCUCCAUGGAGUCACGAGUCUUGCAGAGUACGGGGCUGGUGUUCGGCUCAACCACCGUUGGGAUCACAGCCCCCGAGGUGGCGUCCAACCGCCCAUCCUCGAUCGGCGCAGUUGGCUCCGAACUAAGGGUCGGAGCCGGCGCGGGUGCGGCCUCCAGGGCACUGUUCGGCAGCAGAGUUAGAUCAUGCUCGUCGUGACAGUGCGGCGCGCUCGGCAGUGGCUCGAAUCCGUCGAAGAUCGAGUCCCCGCGGAUGUCAGCCGUGUAGUUUAAACUUCCAAAUCUGACCUGACGUCCAGGGGCGUAGCUUUCGAUCUGCUCCAGAUGGCCAAGUGAAUUGGCCCGCAGCGCGAAGCCGCUGAAGACGAAGAUCUGUCCGGGGAGGAAGGUCUCACCCUGGACUGCAUCACUAUUGAUGAUCGUAGAAGCCAUCGGGCUUGAUGGCGACGACACAUAGGAACUCUCAAUGAAAGCACCAAUGUCGGUGUCAAAACCGGCGGAUCUCGGGUAGGGGGUCCCGAACUGUGCGUCUAGGCCGGAUGGUAAUAGGAGGCAAGGGACACGAAGUUUUACCCAGGUUCGGGCCCUCUCGAUGGAGGUAAAACCCUACGUCCUGCUUGAUUAAUAUUGAUGAUAUGGGUAGUACAAAAGUAGAUCUACCACAAGAUCAGAGAGGCUAAACCCUAGAAGCUAGCCUAUGGUAUGAUUCUUGAUGUGUAUGUUGUCCUACGGACUAAAACCCUCCGGUUUAUAUAGACACCGGAGAGGGUUAGGGUUACAUAGAGUCGGUUACAAUGGUAGGAGAUCUGAAUAUCCGUAUCGCCAAGCUUGCCUUCCACGUCAAGGAAAGUCCCUUCCGGACACGGGACGAAGUCUUCAAUCUUGUAUCUUCAUAGUCCAGGAAUCCGGCUGAAGGUAUAGUCCGGCCAUCCGGACACCCCCUAAUCCAGGACUCCCUCAGUGGUGAAGGGGUAUAUAGGUUUGGGGAAGAAGUGAAAAACAUGCAUUAGCGGAUAGUCCGCUAGAUCUAGACCGGAUAGUCCUAUAGUGUAAAUCAGAUUAGGGUUUGGCCAACAAUGUUUGUACAAAAAUGUACAACUUCUGUUCGCUUAAUUUUUUCAAAAUGUUUGUACAAAAAAUGUUCGUGCAAUUUAAAAAAUGUUUCACGCAUUUCAAACAAAUGUCCAUGUUAUUUGAAGAAAUGUACUUACCAUGCAUUUUUUUUCAUAAUUAAAACACAAUGAUUCCUACCUUUUAGAAAAUGUCGAUGGCAACAAAAAACAACAACAAAGCCUUUGGUCCAAAAUAAAUUGGGGUAGGCUAGAGUUAAAACUCAUAAGAUACCGAAAAUCUGAAAACAAGUCAUGGUUCUAGGGGAGAAUAUCUAGUACUCCCACCCCUAGGGUGCUCCCGGUGCUCCAAACUCAGCAGCAUAUUUUUAAAUGGUCGAAAAAAUCUGAAAAAAAUCUAGCACAUUGAUACAAUGUCAAUGUAUGUUGUCAAAAAAAUUCAAAUCAAAAUUCAAAACAUUGCUUGAGAUACAAAAAUGAAUAAAUCGACAUCAAUAUGAUAAUGGGCCAAAUAUAAAGCCCAACUUAUGUUGUGUAUUAUUUACUGUCGAAUUUGUCAUUUAUGUUUCUCAAGCUGUGUUUUGAAUUUUGAUUUCAAAUUUUGUUACAACAUACAUUGGUGUCGUGUCUAUGUGCUGUUUUUUCCAGAAUUUUUCGAACAUUUAAAAAUGUGCUACCGAGUUUGGAGCACUGGGAGCACCCUACGGGUGGGAGUACUAGAUAUUCUCCCAAGGUUCUAACACCUGGAUAGCCUACUUAAUUCCACACACCCAUGUCCAUGGUUAAAUCUUUGGUGAUAUUUCAGUCCAUCAGAUCUCUUUUUACGGACUCAUCAUAUGUCAAAUUUGGCCUACCCCAACUCCGCUAUGCACUGGCGCUGCAGGCUUGCCUAUUUUAAAAAAUGUUGAUGACAUUUAAAAAAAUAUUCACACAUUUAAAAAAUAUGUUUGUGAAAUUUAAAAUAAACAAUUUAUACAAUGUAAAAAAAAUGUUUGUGUAGUUUAAAAAAAUGUUCCCUACCAUUCAAAGAAAAUUCUCAACAUGUUUUUGAAGAAUGUUUUACAUGUAGUCAAAAAAGUGCAUUUAAAAAAAUUUCAAUAUAUAUUUUAAAAAUUUUAACAUUUGCAAAAAUACAUCACACGUUUGUAUGAAAAAUGUAGAACGAGCACUGAAAAAUAGUCAUGAAUUAAAAAUAAAGCAAAAAAACAAAGUAAACCAACAAAGGAACAGUAAAAACAGAAGAAAAAUAAGUUGAAGUACCGCUCCUAACCGCCACCCUACUACCACGAGUUUACUGGGAUUCUCAUGCUAAAUGGAAGUACCGCUCCUCGGCGUGUUAGUACCGCUGGCUUCUGCCACAUGGAGUACCGCUUGUUUGUUGCCUUCUGGACUGGUCUGUCCCGCGGGUGGAAGUAGAGCGGUAGUACCGCCCUACCUCCCUCUACUACCACAGAUUCCAACUGCUGCUCAACACCAAGCGAAAGUAUCGCUCCCUGACUUGCUCAUUUGUAUGCAACAGCUAUAACUUCCGUGCCAGCGGAAGUACCGCUCACCUGAGAGGUACUCCAGCUUGUGCACGGGCUGUGGGUGCAUAACUGUAACGCCCCGAGACCGACGCUCCAGAAGACUUUCCAGCUAUUCCGAGUUUCGUCGUGUGAUUUGUUUUAUUUGUUGCAUUCAUCCUUGCAUCAUGUGCAUUGCAUCAUGUCAUCAUGCCAUCAUAUCAUUAAUUUUUAAAACCUCAACUAAAUAAAUUGUAUGGAUUUUUCGAUCCAUUUAAAUCGAGGGACUCACAUGGUGACUUCUCUUUAUAACAUAUCCUCCAAUAUUAGGGAGCUAUAUUAAAUAUUCCACUAUUUUGGAAUCACCAAAACACACUUACAAAAUAAUUUCGUUCCUUUUCUGCUUCAAGUUUGGUCUCCAACCUUGCCAAUAUUUAUUUCAUCAUUUUCCGGAGCUCCGCCAAAAAUCACAACAUUUUUGGACCUUCCUUUUACCUAGUCCUAGUUCAAACCUAUUGAAUUAAAUUCAAAUGAUUUUGAAUUUAAUCUUGCAAUCUUGCUCACUUCUAUUUUCUUGGGACUAGCGCAUUUUUGUGAGUCCAAGAAUAUUAUUUGCAUGUGCUAAUUCUUUGCCUAUCCUUCUCUUUCUUUUCUUUCUCUUUUUCUGUUUUGUUUUAAAUGGGAAAAUGAGAGAGAGAAGAGAGAGUGCAGCCUGUAGCCCAGCCGGCCUCUAAGCCCAAGGCCCAGCUGCUGCGCCUCUAACCCUAGCCCGACCCCCUCGCUCGAUCCAUCUCUCCCUCGGUCGAUCCCCUCCUUCCUUGUUGCGCCGUCGCAGAGAGAGAGAGAGAGGAGCCCCGCUCCACCUCGCCCUUCUCCUCGCCGCAUCGCCCGAUCUCCUCGCCUCCGCCCCUUCCUCCCCUGCUCUUUUCCCUUCCUUCUUUCUCUCUCUCUUAUGUGCAGCUCUCCCCUUGUUCUCUUCUUCUUCACAGGGAACCGAGCUGCCAUGGCCGCCGUUCGUCCUCAUCGCCACCCUUCGGAUCCGCGCAGGAACAGCCUCCUCGGCGACCCCCUUUCUCGCCGGAGCACCGAAUCAGGAGCAGCCGUGGACGCCGUGUCGCAAGCAGCAGCAGCAGUCGAGCGCCUCGUUCCCUCUUCUGCACAUGGAUCCGCAUCACGCCGGCUGCUCCACCUCGGGUCCCCGCCGUCCUGCUUCUUCCCGACGAGGGCCACACCUCUGCCUCGUUCGGUUCGAGCGAACGAACAAGCAGGAUGCCGUUCCGCCCUCUGCUUCACCUGGCAUCGAACGAGGAGACGAGGGCCUCGCCGUACCCGUUGACCGCUCGACCUCCUCUGCUUCGGCAUCGAUCCAGAGACGAACGCCGACCGCGCCCAGGCCCAGCUCGCGCGCGCCUCCGCGUCCAGCCCAGCUCCCUCCGUUGACCACGCCCGCGUGGGCCGGCCCAAUCGUUCUCCCCGCGGUCCAGCCUCGCUCGGCCUCCUCCCCAGCUUCCUUAGCCAGAUCCGCCGGCCUCUCUCUGCAGAUGGGCCAAGGCCCAGGGUGAGCCGACCCCCAGCGCCCCUCCUCUAUUUUUUUCUCUGUUGGGCGUGCCCAGUUUCAGCCCGAUCAUGUUUUUUUCUCGUCCUGCGAUUUUGUCUAAUAUUCCAGAGAUUGCAGUUUUGCAGAAUAACCCCCUAGCUUCAUGCAUUUAAUAACUAAUCAACGGUGCAUCCUUUGUAAAAACUUUGUAUAUGAAACUUGCUCAGAAUUUUGUGUAGAUUAAUAAUAUCCAACUUUCAUCUAUGUUUGAAAUGUUAAAAAUGUUGUUUGCAUUAAUUUACUCCUAUGCCAUGCUAAAAUGCUUUAUUUCAUAACUAAAUAACCGUAGCUCCGAAUUAAAUAAACUUUAUAUGUAAAUGGGGUAGAAAAAUGUCUAGUUUAACAUGGUGCACUCAUCUUGCAUGUUAAACAACUCUAAAAUUGUGUUUAGGGCAGAACAGUACCAAAUCUAAAAUAUGCUUUGGGGAUUUUCCAGAAUUGUUGUUCGUUACUUCCGGCCUCAUUUAAACUUGCCUAGAUAGGUAGUUUCGUUGUGCUUCACCCUCUUGCCAUGUUAACCAACAUUUAAUAUUGUUGAGUACAUAAACGAGAUCAAACUAAAUAACGUGUCGUGGUGUUUCAUCAAUAUGCAACUCGUUGCGUAUUGAGCUCCACUUAAUUUGUAGUGUUGUUUGUUGCACUUUGCCAUGCCAUGUUUCAUUAAACCGGACAUGCAUCAUACUCGAUUGUGCAUCAUGCCAUGUUGAUGUGCUGGUUGUUUACUAUGUUGUGUGCUUCUUUUCCGGUGAUUGCUUCUUCGGGUUGGUUCCGAUAACGUCGCGUUUGUGAGGAUCCGUUCAACUACGUCCGUUUGUCUUCUUCAUGGACUCGUUCUUCUUCCUUGCGGGAUUUCAGGCAAGAUGAUCAUACCCUCGAAAUCACUACUAUCUUUGCUAUGCUAGUUUGCUCGCUCUUUUGCCAUGCCAAUGCUACGAUGCCUACCAUUUGCUUGUCAGCCUCCCAAAUUGCCAUGUCAACCUCUAACCCACCAUGUCCUAGCAAACCGUUGAUUGGCUAUGUUACCGCUUUGCUUAGCCCCUCUUAUAGCGUUGUUAGUUGCAGGUGAAGAUUGAAGUUUGUUCCUUGUUGGAACAUGGAGAUGUUGUUCCUUGUUGGAACAUGUUUACUUGUUGGGAUAUCACAAUAUAUCUUACUUAAUUAAUGCAUCUAUAUACUUGGUAAAGGGUGGAAGGCUCGGCCUUAUGCCUGGUGUUUUGUUCCACUCUUGCCGCCCUAGUUUCCGUCAUAUCGGUGUUAUGUUCCCGGAUUUUGCGUCCCUUACGCGGUUGGGCUAUAAUGGGAACCCCUUGACAGUUCGCCUUAAGUAAAGCUCUUCCAGCAAUGCCCAACCUUGGUUUUACCAUUUGCCACCUAGCCUUUUCUUUCCCUUGGGUUCUGCAGACUCAAGGGUCAUCUUAUUUAACCCCCCCGGGCCAGUGCUCCUCUGAGUGUUGGUCCGAACCGGGCAGCCUGCGGGGCCACCUCGGGGAAACUUGAGGGUUGGUUUUACUCGUAGCUUGACCUAUCUGAGUGUGCCCUGAGAAAGAGAUAUGUGCAGCUCCUAUCGGGAUUUGUCGGCACAUUCGGGCGGUGUUGCUGGUUUAGUUUUACCCUGUCGAAAUGUCUUGUUGUACCGGGAUACCGAGUCUGAUCGGAACGUCUCGGGUGGAGGUCUAUUCCUUCGUUGACCGUGAGAGCUUGUCAUGGGCUAAGUUGGGACACCCCUGCAGGGAUUUGAACUUUCGAAAGCCGUGCCCGCGGUUAUGGGCAGAUGGGAAUUUGUUAGCGUCCGGUUGUAGAAAACCCGAAGUUGACCUUAUUUAAAAUACAUCAACCGUGUGUGUAACCGUGAUGGUCUCUUCUCGGCGGAGUCCGGGAAGUGAACACGGUUGUUGGAGUUAUGCUUGACGUAGGUUGCUAUAGGAUCACUUCUUGAUCAUACUUUUAUCGACCGUGCUUUGCCUUCUCUUCUCGCUCUCAUUUGCGUAUGUUAGCAGCCAUAUAUGCUAGUCGCUUGCUGCAGCUCCACCUCAUUACUCCAUCCUUCCUAUAAGCUUAAAUAGUCUUGAUCUCGCGGGUGCGAGAUUGCUGAGUCUCCGUGGCUCACAGAUACUUCCAAAACCAGUUUGCAGGUGCCUAUGUUACUGAACAGGUGACGCAACCAAGCUCAAGGAGGAGCUCGAUGAAGAUCUUGCCCUUUGUGUUGUUUCGUUCUAGUUGAUCAGUAGUGGAGCCCAGUUAGGGUCGAUCAGGGACCUUUGUCGCAUUUGGGGUUCUUCUUUUAUUUUGGUUCCGUAGUCGGACCUUGAUUGUAUCUGGAUGAUGUAAUGCUUUAUUCAUGUAAUUGUGUGAAGUGGCGAUUGUAAGCCAACUAUGUAUCUCUUUCCCUUAUGUAUUACAUGGGUUGUGUGAAGAUUACCUCACUUGCGACAUUGCUUUCGAUGCGGUUAUGCCUCUAAGUCGUGCUUCGACACGUGGGAGAUAUAGCCGCAUCGAGGGCGUUACAAGUUGGUAAUCAGAGCCUUCCCCGACCUUAGGAGCCCCAUUGCUUGAUCGUUUUUAGCGGCCGAGUUGUGUCUAGAAAAAUGUUUUGAGUCAUUUAGGAAUUAUAUAUCGGAGAGUUUAGGAAUUCUUUUUACUCCUCAGUCCCUUCGUCACUCUUGCGAGGCAUCCUGACGUAGAGUUUUGACUCUUCUCUUCUCGAAUUUCACUAAAUUUUUUUUUAGGAUCACGCGGGUAUCUUGGAAUCGUUCUGAUGGUUUUAUGACGAGAACAUUGUCUUGGUGCCUCCUGUCAGGGGUUUAGUGGAAGUGUCCCGGGGAGUUGAGCUCUGAGGUGUUGUCGUCAUAAUUUUAUCGUUGCAGUUCUGGAAUACCUGAGUUUAGUACGCCGACAUCGAAAAUCUCUUUUAUGCAGUUGUUGGUGAGAUAACCCCGAUAACCCAGUACUGAGGUGAGUACGGGAGUAUCGCCAUAACUUGUAUAACGGAUGCUUUUCGAAGGUUGAGGUAGACGAUUUCCGAAGGUUUCUUGGUUAUGUGUUGAAGGAUGGAUACAGCUGGAUGUAGGAUUUGUUAGUUUUGGGUGAGAUAUUAUGCUUCCCCUGUAUCCCCAACACCUGAUUGCAUAACCUGAAAAUUUCGGGAGUUUCAUAGGUGGGAAUUCAAGUAGCUCUUAGGAUAUCUUUCCGACAGAUGUAUGAUAUGAAAUUGGGGUUCGACGUCUAGUGGUCCGCCUAUUCACGGUUAGUUUUACAGUGGUCUCGUUGUGUCUUAAAGAGUCCUUGGCUAUGCCGACUCGGGGACGCUUCGUAGUCAUGUGCACUGCCUUGUACAUGAUGGUGCUGUAUGAUCGAGCCCGUGUAGGCCCCACCACGAAAACUUCGGACGAAAUCUCUAUCAUAUGUUUGUUCUGGCUUAUUUUGCAAGCCAGUCCUUUGUUUUUGUUUUGAGUUGUGGUAUUCGAGUUGCUUCGAAGUCAAAUGUUGAUUCCAUACCUUUUCCAAAUGGUGUUCUCAUAUUCCUAUGUGAAUACUAAUCCUUCUUGAUCAUCGAGUCUGUCUUGUCAAUCCUUUUUUUUAACUGGUGUGUCUCUCCUCAAGUGGAUCCGUUCACGUCAACAUUUGCAAGAUCAUUUAUCCCUUCUUCUCAACGGUGUUUGUUUCAUCCGUCUCCAAGUUGCCUUUGUUUUUCCCACCCUCCCUCCCUUUUGUUUUUCUUCAAGGACUAAGAUUUCUUCUUCAAGUAUCCAUUUUAUUGAUGGGAAGUUUCUCCAUUCUUUUCCGUCAAUGUUCUUAUCCGGUGAUUCUCAUGAAGAUUCUAAUGGAGCUUCAAGUUCGUCAUUCCUCAUUCUUUUCUUCUCCGGUGGAUUUAAUUUAAGCUUUGGUAUUAAGCAUACUACUUUUCUUUUUUUUCCAAUGCUUUUCUUAUGCCGGUGCACCUCUUAAUCAUCCAUCUCUCGCUAUUAAAUUGUUCCGGAGUGCUCAAGAUAUCUCGAAGAUUCGUGUUUCCACUCUACUUUCGUUCAAGUUCUUUCGAGGAUGUUCCCUCAUUCAAGCCAUUUAAUUCAACCGGUGCAACAUCUCUUUUAAAUCUUUUCAACGGUGUUCUUUUGAGUGGGCCCUAACCCACAGGUCUUUUCCCAGGGUCUUACCUGACUCUUCUAUUUUCCCAGAGCUAUCCUAAAUUCUUCUCCAAGUUUGACGUAAGAAUGAGUUAUCAUUAGUCAAAUGCUUUUCUCUAAGAUCUUUCAAAUUCUUUUCAUAGUUGGCUCAACCUCUUCGCUUUUGAUUCUUCCGGUGUGCCUCAAUAAUUCUUGGUGGUGUUUCUCGUUGUCAUUCUCAUCAUUUGAAGACCGAAGAAGAGUUUCUCUUUAAUCUUGCUCUAUUCUCUUCAAGAUUCAUGGUGCUAGCUUGUUGCCAUCCUCUCAUAAUUGUUUUCGAUUGUGAGAAUCUUUUUCACCCAUCAGGAGAUAUUCAAGAGUCUUCUCAGUUUGUCAUCCGGAGUCCAUCAAUUCAGGUUUAUUCAUUCUCAGCCGUCAGUUAUCAUUCUCCUAUCUUGCCGGUGCAUCUAUCGAAUAUCCUCUAAUCAGUUCUUGAUCUCUUUGUUCUCAUGUAUCUAGUUUGUCUCAAGCACCUUCGUUCAUUUGCUAAUUCUUACCGGUGAUGCACCCCUACUUCGAUCAUUUUCAAUUCUUACGGUGGUUCUUUCAAGAUCUCUCUUCCUUGUUCAUCAUAUCAAUUCAUUUGUUGUUCCAAUCCUACCGGUGGUUCAUUGAAGACCUUCUCAAGUUUACGCUAUAUCUCUUUUAAUCCUUUCUACGAGAAUAAGUAGUAUGCCAAAUCCGUUGAUUGUCGUCAAUUUAAUUGGUGAAGGAUAAGCAUAACAUAAUUCUUAUUCUUGUUCAUCCAAGUGAUUAAUUCUUUAUUCCGGAGGCCUUAAAAUUCUCGGUUUCAUUUGUUUCAUCUUCUCUUUUUCCCGGAGUUCCAAGCUCUAAUUAUCACGGAGAUCCAUCUAAAUCAUUGCAAGGAUUCACCUUGUGUUUUCAAUUUCUCUUUCUUUUCAUUCCUUUUGUUUACCGGAGUUCUUCAUGGAGGUUCUACAUGUUGGUUUAUAAAGGAUUUAAUUUCUUCUUGAAGUUUUCAUCGAGAUUCUUUCCUAAGGAGCAAAAGCUUUCUUUAUAUGGUAAUCUGGAGUGCAAUUCUUUCUACCAUAUUUUGGAGGUGGUAUUAUGUCAUUCUUGAUAAUUUGAGUUCAUGUUCCAUGAUUCACAUGUUGUUAAGAAUGAGUUAUUUUUUAAAUCCAUCAACCUCGUUGUUGGAGUUAUCUUGUGUCAUAUUUCACCUAAAAGCCUUCCAUUGGAAUGUUGCUAUUUGUGGUGCUUGCCAAUGAUCCAAGUUAUCUCUUUAUCAUCUUGGUGGAAGAAGUGUUCAUCUCUUCGUCGAUCUAAAGCUAGCAAUCGUUUCCGUUAGUGGCCGGUUGUCACCUCAUAAUUUUGAGAUGUUUUCCAUAAGCCCACUACAAGCUUAUUCGUUUCGUUGUUAGUUUUUCCCAACAACCCCGUUGUAACCUUCUUGGAAGGGUGCUUUCCAAGCUCAAUUGUGGCAGAAGUUGCCAUUUCCCCCUCCAUUCUGUUAUUCCAAUGACCUAUCUUCUAUUCUUUCUUCCGGAGGCAUUGUGACGUUGCUCUUUUCACUCACCAUCUCGAUUCAUGAGGAUCGUGUUCUUUUCUUGCUUAUCCAUUUAACCGGAGUGUCGUGUUUUCAUUCGAGUUCUCUAAUCUUAUCAAGUUUUCCCUCCUUCCUCAACUGGAGAGCUGUCUGAAAUCCUUCUUACCCAUUGUGUCAUUCUUUCAAUAGUUCCGGAGGCAGUGUGUUGUUGAUUUCAUCAAGUAACAUCCCAUCUUCUCAAGUUCAUGUUCUAUUCCUUCCAUGUUCAACCGGAGUACUGCCCGAAUUCUUCCCCUCUCAUCUUGUUUUAACCGGAGUGGUUUCGAAUUCUAUCUUGUCCAUUAAACUCUUGAUUCAUGUCUUUGCAACCUUCAAGUUCUCGUAAUGUUCCUUGUUCCUCUUUCUAACGGAUUGUUUGCAAUCUCGUUCAUCUCCUUUGUAUUCUUUCUUUCAAUUUGUUCAACCUCUCAAGGUUCUUUGGUUUCACUCAUUGGUCAAAGAAGCAACUUAGUUUACCCUCUUCUCUUCCUCUUCCGUUUCUCUCCGGUGCCAUCCUAGAUCUCGGGACAAGAUCCUCUCGUAGUGGUGGAGUGUUGUAACGCCCCGAGACCGACGCUCCAGAAGACUUUCCAGCUAUUCCGAGUUUCGUCGUGUGAUUUGUUUUAUUUAUUGCAUUCAUCCUUGCAUCAUGUCAUCAUGCCAUCAUAUCAUUAAUUUUUAAAACCUCAACUAAAUAAAUUGUAUGGAUUUUUCGAUCCAUUUAAAUCGAGGGACUCACAUGGUGACUUCUCUUUAUAACAUAUCCUCCAAUAUUAGGGAGCUAUAUUAAAUAUUCCACUAUUUUGGAAUCACCAAAACACACUUACAAAAUAAUUUCGUUCCUUUUCUGCUUCAAGUUUGGUCUCCAACCUUGCCAAUAUUUAUUUCAUCAUUUUCCGGAGCUCCGCCAAAAAUCACAACAUUUUUGGACCUUCCUUUUACCUAGUCCUAGUUCAAACCUAUUGAAUUAAAUUCAAAUGAUUUUGAAUUUAAUCUUGCAAUCUUGCUCACUUCUAUUUUCUUGGGACUAGCGCAUUUUUGUGAGUCCAAGAAUAUUAUUUGCAUGUGCUAAUUCUUUGCCUAUCCUUCUCUUUCUUUUCUUUCUCUUUUUCUGUUUUGUUUUAAAUGGGAAAAUGAGAGAGAGAAGAGAGAGUGCAGCCUGUAGCCCAGCCGGCCUCUAAGCCCAAGGCCCAGCUGCUGUGCCUCUAACCCUAGCCCGACCCCCUCGCUCGAUCCAUCUCUCCCUCGGUCGAUCCCCUCCUCCCUCGUUGCGCCGUCGCAGAGAGAGAGAGAGAGGAGCCCCGCUCCACCUCGCCCUUCUCCUCGCUGCAUCGCCCGAUCCCCUCGUCUCCGCCCCUUCCUCCCCUGCUCUUUUCCCUUCCUUCUUUCUCUCUCUCUUAUGUGCAGCUCUCCCCUUGUUCUCUUCUUCUUCACAGGGAACCGAGCUGCCAUGGCCGCCGUUCGUCCUCAUCGCCACCCUUCGGAUCCGCGCAGGAACAGCCUCCUCGGCGACCCCCUUUCUCGCCGGAGCACCGAAUCAGGAGCAGCCGUGGACGCCGUGUCGCAAGCAGCAGCAGCAGUCGAGCGCCUCGUUCCCUCUUCUGCACAUGGAUCCGCAUCACGCCGGCUGCUCCACCUCGGGUCCCCGCCGUCCUGCUUCUUCCCGGCGAGGGCCACACCUCUGCCUCGUUCGGUUCGAGCGAACGAACAAGCAGGAUGCCGUUCCGCCCUCUGCUUCACCUGGCAUCGAACGAGGAGACGAGGGCCUCGCCGUACCCGUUGACCGCUCGACCUCCUCUGCUUCGGCAUCGAUCCAGAGACGAACGCCGACCGCGCCCAGGCCCAGCUCGCGCGUGCCUCCGCGUCCAGCCCAGCUCCCUCCGUUGACCGCGCCCGCGUGGGCCGGCCCAAUCGUUCUCCCCGCGGUCCAGCCUCGCUCGGCCUCCUCCCCAGCUUCCUUAGCCAGAUCCGCCGGCCUCUCUCUGCAGAUGGGCCAAGGCCCAGGGUGAGCCGACCCCCAGCGCCCCCUCCUCUAUUUUUUUUUCUCUGUUGGGCGUGCCCAGUUUCAGCCCGAUCAUGUUUUUUUCUCGUCCUGCGAUUUUGUCUAAUAUUCCAGAGAUUGCAGUUUUGCAGAAUAACCCCCUAGCUUCAUGCAUUUAAUAACUAAUCAACGGUGCAUCCUUUGUAAAAACUUUGUAUAUGAAACUUGCUCAGAAUUUUGUGUAGAUUAAUAAUAUCCAACUUUCAUCUAUGUUUGAAAUGUUAAAAAUGUUGUUUGCAUUAAUUUACUCCUAUGCCAUGCUAAAAUGCUUUAUUUCAUAACUAAAUAAUCGUAGCUCCGAAUUAAAUAAACUUUAUAUGUACAUGGGGUAGAAAAAUGUCUAGUUUAACAUGGUGCACUCAUCUUGCAUGUUAAACAACUCUAAAAUUGUGUUUAGGGCAGAACAGUACCAAAUCUAAAAUAUGCUUUGGGGAUUUUCCAGAAUUGUUGUUCGUUACUUCCGGCCUCAUUUAAACUUGCCUAGAUAGGUAGUUUCGUUGUGCUUCACCCUCUUGCCAUGUUAACCAACAUUUAAUAUUGUUGAGUACAUAAACGAGAUCAAACUAAAUAACGUGUCGUGGUGUUUCAUCAAUAUGCAACUCGUUGCGUAUUGAGCUCCACUUAAUUUGUAGUGUUGUUUGUUGCACUUUGCCAUGCCAUGUUUCAUUAAACCGGACAUGCAUCAUACUCGAUUGUGCAUCAUGCCAUGUUGAUGUGCUGGUUGUUUACUAUGUUGUGUGCUUCUUUUCCGGUGAUUGCUUCUUCGGGUUGGUUUCGAUAACGUCACGUUUGUGAGGAUCCGUUCAACUACGUCCGUUUGUCUUCUUCAUGGACUCGUUCUUCUUCCUUGCGGGAUUUCAGGCAAGAUGAUCAUACCCUCGAAAUCACUACUAUCUUUGCUAUGCUAGUUUGCUCGCUCUUUUGCCAUGCCAAUGCUACGAUGCCUACCAUUUGCUUGUCAGCCUCCCAAAUUGCCAUGUCAACCUCUAACCCACCAUGUCCUAGCAAACCGUUGAUUGGCUAUGUUAACGCUUUGCUUAGCCCCUCUUAUAGCGUUGUUAGUUGCAGGUGAAGAUUGAAGUUUGUUCCUUGUUGGAACAUGGAGAUGUUGUUCCUUGUUGGAACAUGUUUACUUGUUGGGAUAUCACAAUAUAUCUUACUUAAUUAAUGCUCUUCCAGCAAUGCCCAACCUUGGUUUUACCAUUUGCCACCUAGCCUUUUCUUUCCCUUGGGUUCUGCAGACUCAAGGGUCAUCUUAUUUAACCCCCCCGGGCCAGUGCUCCUCUGAGUGUUGGUCCGAACCGGGCAGCCUGCGGGGCCACCUCGGGGAAACUUGAGGGUUGGUUUUACUCGUAGCUUGACCUAUCUGAGUGUGCCCUGAGAAAGAGAUAUGUGCAGCUCCUAUCGGGAUUUGUCGGCACAUUCGGGCGGUGUUGCUGGUUUAGUUUUACCCUGUCGAAAUGUCUUGUUGUACCGGGAUACCGAGUCUGAUCGGAACGUCUCGGGUCGAGGUCUAUUCCUUUGUUGACCGUGAGAGCUUGUCAUGGGCUAAGUUGGGACACCCCUGCAGGGAUUUGAACUUUCGAAAGCCGUGCCCGCGGUUAUGGGCAGAUGGGAAUUUGUUAACGUCCGGUUGUAGAAAACCCGAAGUUGACCUUAUUUAAAAUACAUCAACCGUGUGUGUAACCGUGAUGGUCUCUUCUCGGCGGAGUCCGGGAAGUGAACACGGUUGUUGGAGUUAUGCUUGACGUAGGUUGCUAUAGGAUCACUUCUUGAUCAUACUUUUAUCGACCGUGCUUUGCCUUCUCUUCUCGCUCUCAUUUGCGUAUGUUAGCAGCCAUAUAUGCUAGUCGCUUGCUGCAGCUCCACCUCAUUACUCCAUCCUUCCUAUAAGCUUAAAUAGUCUUGAUCUCGCGGGUACGAGAUUGCUGAGUCUCCGUGGCUCACAGAUACUUCCAAAACCAGUUUGCAGGUGCCUAUGUUACCGAACAGGUGACGCAACCAAGCUCAAGGAGGAGCUCGAUGAAGAUCUUGCCCUUUGUGUUGUUUCGUUCUAGUUGAUCAGUAGUGGAGCCCAGUUGGGGUCGAUCAGGGACCUUUGUUGCAUUUGGGGUUCUUCUUUUAUUUUGGUUUCGUAGUCGGACCUUGAUUGUAUCUAGAUGAUGUAAUGCUUUAUUCAUGUAAUUGUAUGAAGUGGCGAUUGUAAGCCAACUAUGUAUCUCUUUCCCUUAUGUAUUACAUGGGUUGUGUGAAGAUUACCUCACUUGCGACAUUGCUUUCGAUGCGGUUAUGCCUCUAAGUCGUGCUUCGACACGUGGGAGAUAUAGCCGCAUCGAGGGCGUUACAAUAACAGUUGGAUUUCAUCCCUCGCUAUAUAAGGUAGUCAUCUUCCCCCAAGUUGACUUCCCUCUUCCCACCCCAAGCUUCAUUGUUGCUGACAAGCUCAUUUCCGCAUGAUCUCUCUCACUAGCCAAUCAAACUUGUUGAUUCUUUAGGGAUUGGUUUAGAAGCCCUAGAUCUAUACUUCCGAGAAAUUUGAUUCCCCCCACUAAUCCCUUGCGAAUCUUGUUACUCUUGGGUGUUUGAGCACCCUAGACGGUUGAGGUCACAUUGGAGCCACAUUCCAUUGUGGUGAAGCUUCGUGGUGUUGUUGGGAGCCUCCAAUUCGGUUAUGGAGAGAGCCCCAACCUUGUUUGUAAAGGUCCGGUUGCCGCCUCCAAGGGCACCACUAGUGGAAUCACGAUAUCUUGCAUUGUGUGAGGGCGUGAGGAGAAUACGGCGGCCCUAGUGGCUUCUUGGGGAGCAUUGUGUCUCUACACCACUCCAACGGAGAUGUACUUCCUUCCAAAGGGAAGGAACUUCGGUAACAUAUCCUCGUCUCCACCGGCUCCACUCAUGGUUACUUCUUACCUUUACUUUGUGCAAGCUUUGCUUGUGUUGCAUCCUUUGCUUGCUUGUGUUGUUGUUGUUGUUGUUGCUAGCAUCAUAUAGGUUGCUCACCUAGUUGCAUAUCUAGAAAACCUAUUUGUUGCUAACCCUAAUUUGUUAAGAAAAGCUAAAAAUUGGUAGUUACCUAUUCACCCCCCUCUAGUGAACCAUAUCGAUCCUUUCAGAUAGUCCAAUAGUGUAAAUCAUAUUAGGGUUUGGCUAAUAAUGUUUUGUACAAAAAUAUACGAAUUUUGUUCGCUUAAUUUUUUUGGAAAUGCAUAUACGAAAAAUGUUUUUGACAUUUGAAAAAUGUUUCACGCAUUUCAAAAAAAUGUUUUCCACAUUUAAAGAAAUGUCUUUACGAUGCAAACAAUAUUUUCAUAAUUAAAACACAAUGAUUCCUACCUUUUGAAAAAUGUUGAUGGCAACAAAAAAUGACAACAACAACAACAACAAAACCUUUCGGUCCAAAAUAAGUUGGGGUAGGCUAGAGUUAAAACUCAUAAGAUACCAAAAAUCCGAAAACAAGUCAUGGUUCUAGCACCUGGAUAGCCUACUUAAUUCCACGCAUCCAUGUCCAUGGUUAAAUCGUUGGUGAUAUUCUAGUCCAUCGGAUCUCUUUUUAGGAACCCAUCCUAUGUCAAAUUUGGUCUACCCCGACUCGGCUAUGCACUGGCACUUCAAGCUUGCCUAUUUAAAAAAUGUUGAUGACAUUUUUUAAAAAUAUCCACGCAUUUCAAAAAAUAUGUUUGUGACAUUUAAAAGAAACAAUUUAUACAAUGUAAAAAAAUAUUUCCUACCAUUCAAAGAAAAUGUUCAACAUGUUUUUGAAGAAUGUUUAACAUGUAGUCAAAAAUGUAUCUAAAAUAAUAUUCAACAUGUAUUUAAAAAGUUUAGCAUGUACAAAAACACGUCCUGCGUUUGUAGGAAAAAUGCAGAACGGGCACUGAAAGACAUGCUAGAGCAUUAGUAUUAAAUAUAAAGUGCAAUUCAUUUUGGAAUUUUAGAAAGACCCCCUCCCCUAGAUGGCUAUUUCCUACUUUGAACUAUAUGAUGGUCGUCUGCCUGAAGCAUAAAAUUCAAUAGGCACCAUUGCAGCGCCCUGCCCGAGACUGGCCUUAAUUUGACCUCUCAUUGCACAUGUGUCAUUGGUGUGCGGAUCAGAGUUGAGACAACUCUAUUUAUAGGGAUUCUACAUGGUGGAUCUCGAGAAAGGUGACGAGCUAAUAACCGUGGACAUGCUCAGAUACUCCCAAUACAUGAUUAAGUUUUUCUCAUUCCCUGAAUUACCUUUUGUCUUGCAAAUGCUAAAUAUAUCAAUAUAUCUUCGUUGGUGCAGAGUGUAUAGAAAGGAAGUUGUAGAACUGCCGCUUGUCGGGACCCAAUUCACACAUUAUCGGCAACGAAUAAUGUGCCACAUCCUAAUGAACCAAAUGGAAAAGUUGUGUCUAAUGCUUGGGUUGUUCAAUGCAUAUUUCUUGGCUUCUACAAAAUGUUUUCAAAUUCACAAUCGCAAGUUAUGACACAUUUACUUUGCCAAGGACAUGGAGAGGGUUUAUACACUUGUUCAUAGUUUACAAAGUUUGACUUCUAAACAUUAUUAUAUGUAUAGUAAUUUUUCAAGGAGGGAGUAUAAUUUACUAUAAACAUCAUCAUAAUUCCAACAAAUAGUCUCAAAUUAGCAUUAUCAUUUUGGAAUUUUAGAAAGGGGGGCCAUGCACCCCCCCCCUCUCCAGUUCGUUCAUGUGACAUACCGGCUCGUAACCGAUGCGAACACCCGUGAUCCACCAGAAAAACUCGAGUUUGGUAUUCAUCUUCUCAUCAGGUCCGCUGGCCGGAAGCAUCCUAGUUGUGUCUCGCGUUAGCGUCGGACGAUCAUGGACAUCGCGAAGUACGUCGAGUUCAUGGUUGGCGGCGGCCGGGGCAACAUUUAGAUAUAGCUAGCAUAGUAAAUAUAGGAAAGUACUAGCAUACUGCUUCUCAUAGAUAAUGCAUUUUUUGGCAAGGAGGGAGUAUAAUUUAGUCUAAACAUCAUCAAAAUAGUGCUAAAAUACGUGGUACAUUUUUUUGGAAUUAUAGAAAGAGGCCACGGCGAGCGCGUCGGAGUGGAGGUCCGAGAGGGAGAAGCCACAACGGAUCUACCAACAGAUGAAGAGCAGCAUAUCCGCUACUCAUGUGAGUAUGACGGGUAUGUCCCACUUUGCCACCACAUGCCGUGUGUGUAGGGGGGGGGGGUGCUAAGGCGAGGAAGAUCUUCAAAAUUUGGAGGGUGGCAGUGGGGUGGCUUUGUGAGCUAGGGGGUUCUGCGGUACAAGUGGCACACAACAACGAGGAGGGUUUAUACCACACCCACAGAAUGUCGACAAAGCAAGUUUCUAGGCUUCUACAAAAUGUUUUCAAGUUCAUGACCGCAAAUUAUGACAAAAUUUACUUUGUCGGGGACAUGUCAAGGAUUUAGAAACUUGAUGAAAAUUUAUAAAGUUUAUCUUUAAAAAUAUAUUAUAUGUAAAGUAAUCUGGCAAGGAGGGAGAUAAUUUAGUUUAAACAUCAUCACAAUUCUAAGAAAAUAGUCUGGAAAUAGUAUUAAAGUGCUAGAGCAUUAGUAUUCAAUACAAAAUGAAAAUCAUUUUGGAAUUUUAGGAAGGGGGACAUGCCCCCUCCCCUACCAAGAAUUUUGGAAGAAUUGGUUGAAACAUAAAUUUAAUAUGCACCGCCGCGCAGUGCCCUAGCCGAGACCGACCAUAAGUUAACCUCUUGUUUCCGCUUUGUUUUGGAUCGCAACUAACUUGGAGACGCGAUAUUAGACAAAGUUCAAUUCAUGUGCUCCUGAUGUCUACUACACAACCUUCUUCUUGUAGACGUUGUUGGGCCUUCAAGUGCAGAGGUUUGUAGGACAACAACAAAUUUCCCUCAAGUGGAUGACCUAAGGUUUAUCAAUCCGUGUGAGGCGUAUGAUGAAGAUGGUCUCUCUCAAACAACCAUGCAUCGAAAUAACAAAGAGUCUCUUGUGUCCCCAACACACCCAAUGCAAUGAUAAAUUGUAUAGGUCCACUAAUUCGGCGAAGAGAUGGUGAUACACGUGCAAUAUGGGUGGUAGAUAUAGGUUUUUGUAAUCUGAAAAUAUAAAAACAGCAAGGUAACUAAUGAUAAAAGUGAGCACAAACGGUAUUGCAAUGCUUCGAAACAAGGCCUAGGGUUUAUACUUUCACUAGUGCAAGUUCUCUCAACAAUAAUAACAUAAUUGGAUCAUAUAACAAUCCCUCAACAUGCAACAAAGAGUCACUCCAAAGUCACUAAUAGCGGAGAACAAACAAAGAGAUUAUUGUAGGGUACGAAACCACCUCAAAGUUAUUCUUUCCGAUCAAUCCAUUGAAUUAUUCCUAUAAGUGUCACAAACAACCCUAGAGUUCAUAGUAAAAUAACACCUUAAGACAUAAAUCAAUCAAAACCCUAAUGUCACCUAGAUACUCCAAUGUCACCUCAAGUAUCCGUGGGUUUGAUUAUACGACAUGCAUCACACAAUCUCAGAUUCAUCUAUUCAAACCAACACAAAGAACUUCAAAGAGUGCCCAAAGUUUCUACCGGAGAGUCAAGACGAAAACGUGUGCCAACCCCUAUGCAUAAGUUCACAAGGUCAUAAAACUCGCAAGUUGAUCACCAAAACAUACAUCAAGUGGAUCACGUGAAUAUCCCAUUGUCACCACAGAUAAGCACAUGCAAGACAUACAUCAAGUGUUCUCAAAUUCUUAAAGACUCAAUCCGAUAAGAUAACUUCAAAGGGAAAACUCAAUUCAUCACAAGGAGAUAGAGGGGGAGAAACAUCAUAAGAUCCAACUAUAAUAGUAAAGCUCGCGGUACAUCAAGAUCGUGCCAUAUCAAGAACAUGAGAGAGAGAUCAAACACAUAGCUACUGGUACAUACCCUCAGCCCCGAGGAUGAACUACUCCCUCCUCAUCAUGGAGAGCGCCGGGAUGAUGAAGAUGGCCAUCGGUGAUGAUUUCCCCCUCCGGCAGGGUGCCGGAACAGGGUCACGAUUGGUUUUUGGUGGCUACAGAGGCUUGCGGCGACGGAACUCCCGAUCUAGGUUUCUUUUCAGGGGUUUCUGUAUUUAUAGGAAUUUUUGGCGUCGGUCUCACAUCAGGGGGGUCUCCGAGUCAUCCACGAGGCAGGGGGGUGCGCCCAGGGGGGUAGGGCGCGCCCUCCACCCUCGUGGAUGGCUUGGGACUCUUCUGGCCCAACUAUUUUACUCCGGGGGCUUCUUUUGGUCUAUAAAAAAUCAUCAAAAAUUGGCACAUUAAUUGGACUCCAUUUGGUAUUCCUUUUCCGUGAAACUCAAAAACAAGGAAAAAAAACAGAAACUGGCACUGGGCUCUAGGUUAAUAGGUUAGUCCCAAAAAAUCAUAUCAAAUAGCAUAUAAAUGCAUAUAAAACAUCCUAGAUGGAUAAUAUAAUAGCAUAGAACAAUAAAAAUAUAUAGAUACGUUGGAGACAUAUCAACUCCCUAUAAGAUCGUUGCUCUUAUUUCGAAAAGUCUAUAACUAAAUCAUGUGCGCUUGCGGGACAUCAACCUUCAAACCUUCACAAACUUUCCGGGUGUAAAUCACAAGUUGAUUCCUCGCUGGAGUAAUCCUAUCACCUUGGAGUUUCCAACCUCCAAGAGCAACAAAAACAAAAGGGAAAUGCUAAAGACUAGCUCAAAUCAUGAAUCACUUUGGUCAAAAGAGAGAGCAGGAUUUGAUAUGCUUGGGUGAAAUCUCUCUCAAAAUUCUCAAGAAUCCCCCAAUAAAUCUUUGAUCCGGUGGUAGGGAAGUGAGAGGGAGCCUCUUCUUAGAUUUGGUCAAGUGUAUAUGGAGUGGUCAACUCCUCCACUGAGUGGUGAAGGCGUAUAUAGGUUUGGGGAAGAAGUGAAAAAAUGCAUUAGCAGACAGUCCGCUAGAUCUAGACCGAAUAGUCCAAUAGUGUAAAUCAGAUUAGGGUUUGGCCAACAAUGUUUGUACAAAAAUGUACAACUUUUGUUCGCUUAUUUUUUUUGGAAAUGUUUGUACAAAAAAUGUUCAUCAAAUUAAAAAAAUGGUUUGCGCAUUUAAAAAAAAUGUUCAUGACAUUUAAAGAAAUGUCUUUACCAUGCAAAAAAUAUUUUCAUAAUUAAAGCAAAAUGAUUCCUACCUUUUAAAAAAUGUUGAUGGCAACAAAAAACAACAACAAAGCCUUCCGGUCCCAAAUAAGUUGGGGGAGGCUAGAGUUAAAACUCAUAAGAUACCGAAAAUCCGAAACAAGUAAUUGUUCUAGCACCUGGAUAGCCUACUUAAUUCCAUGCAUCCAUGUUCAUGGUUAAACCUAGUCCAUCAGAUUUUUUUACGCACUCAUCCUCUGUCAAAUUUGGUCUACCCCGACUCGGCUAUGCACUGGCACUUCAAGCUUGCCUAUUUAAAAAAUGUUGAUGACAUUUUUGAAAAAUAUCCACGCAUUUCAAAGAAAAUGUUCAACAUGUUUUUGAAGAAUGUUUAACAUGUAGUCAAAAAUGUAUCUAAAAUAAUAUUCAACAUGUAUUUAAAAAAGUUUAGCAUGUACAAAAACACGUCGCACGCUUGUACGAAAAAUGCAGAACGGGCACUGAAAGACAGUCAUGCAUUGAAAAUAAAGCAAAGAAGAAAGUAAACCAAAAAAGAAACAGAAAAAAACAGAAGAAAAAUAAUGAAAAGUUUUGAAACCGAUCCAUGAAUAAAAGCUUUCGAAAACCAGUUUAAUAGAUAGGCAGCCCAGUAAAACCGGACGGACUCUCCCUCCCCGCCCCACCCUAAUAACAAUAGAAAAAAACUAUCCCCUCCCAACUCACUUCCUCUCCUCUCAUCUCUUGCCGGCCGCCACUGCUAACCCUAGACCCCAAAGAUUCCUCUUUUUCCCCUCGGAUUCCAUCGUCGACCGACCCGGCCGGCGGCCAUGAGCGCCGUCGUCAGCCCGCCUGUCCUCCCCGACCCCCGCGGCGCCCCGAGCUGGGUCCUCCUCGACACCGCGGGAUACAUCGCCAAACGCGGCAACGCCACCUUCGCCAAGACCUUGGGGAGCAACGGCCAGCCCAUCGGGGUCACCUUCUGCACCGCCGCUCCGCCCCACGUCUCCCACUUCUGCGUCCACUGCCCCGGCCUCGCGCCCGCCGACUUCCUCGAGGAUCCCAAGGUGAUCGCCGCCGAGGCCGACCUCGUCCUCUUCCGCCUCUGCGUCGACCCCCUGGCCGUCGCCGGCGAGCGCCUCUUCGACUACUUCCUCUACACGGCGCACCCUCGCCGCCCCUCGCUCCAGCUUCUCCCGCACCCCUACCCCUACCUCUUCCACGACUGCGAGGCCGCCCUCCUGCGCUGCGGUGAGGAUGAGUACGCCAUCGCCGCUCUCAGGAACAUCGAUGACUACUUCACCGACGAGCCGCAGAUGUCCUUCAACCUUUACCUCUACCGCUCGUCCAGGCCCGGCGAGGGGUGGACCGCCAGGGUGGUGUCGGUGGAGGAGCCACUCAGGGACACGGUCUGCCCGGUGGAGGAGCCCAAGCGGGUUCCAUGAGACGACCAAGGCGAUCACGCUUGGAGGCGGCGCCGUUGGCUGGGUUGAUCUCUGGCGUGGCAUCCUCGUCUGCAACGUGUUCGAUGAAAAGCCUGUGCUCCGGGACGUGCCGCUGCCGCUGCCGGCAAGGGGUAACUGGGAAAUCUACCACAGAUGUGGCCCUUACUUUGCUCGGGACAUCGCGGUCAGCCCACAGAAAGACGUCAUCAAGUAUGUCGAGGUUGAAAUUUGCCUGCCAAGGAAGCCGACUACUACAAAGACGACUGAAACCUGCCACCCCCCGGAGCCGGAGUCCUACCUGGAAUGGUUCCGCCAACAGCAACACGAAGAUGAGGACGACGACGAUGAUGAUGAAGACGUUGGUGGCUGGAAGGCCACAACAUGGAGCUUGCCUGUCCCUAUUGCUUCAUGGGAGAACUGGCACUUUGACUACACCGUCGAUGUCGAUGACAUUACUGUCAACCCAUUGCAUUGUAAUCUGCUUCCAAGGCAGCUGCAGCCCACAGAGGCACAAGCAUUGCUGCCAGGACUCAUCACUGCUUUCCCCAUCAUGAGUAUGGAUGACGAUCUUGUCUACCUCUUGUCCAAGGCCAGCCCCAAAGACCAGAUGCAAGUUGUGAUUGCUGUUGACGUGAGGAGGAAGAUGCUGCUGGGAGUGGCCAAGCUUGUUACUGGAAAAGACUUCACUUUUAUGCGCACUUGCACCAGUGAGAUCUCAAAAUAUAUCAACAAUAAAUCUUCAGGUAAUAUACCCGCUUGGUGUCCUUAAUUAUGACUAUCUCUCUAUGAGUUCACGUGUUAUCUUUAUGUUACCUAAUGAUGAAAUUAAACACAAUACCUCUGGAUCACUGAGAAACCUGCACUGCAACCUCCCUUUCAGUUUAUAAGGCAGGCAUGUAUUUCCAGAUCAUCAAUUUGACCAAUGAAAUAGUAUAUAUUUAUUUCCUAUAAAAAGUUCACUUUAAUUUGUAUUCGAACAAAGUUUUAAAUGGUACUCCCUCCGUAAAGAAUUUCUUCACAGAGGGAGUAUAUUUUUGUGGCAUAUAAACUCAUUUCGUUGGUCGAAUUGAUGAUAUAGAAAUAUGUGUGCCUAACAAACUGAAAGAAAGAGAGGGAGUAUGUUGGUACUCGCCGAGCAAAUCUGUUGUCAUAGCUUUAUGAAGGGAAGUAUUGUGAUUGUUUAGACAGUGGAGUUCAAGAGGGCUAGAGAUGUAGUUACUCUUCCAAAUAGGAUGCACCCCCUUGUUAAUUCGGAAAGGGGUAAGACCAACAAGGGCCCUAUGGUGGUACCUUUUGGUUUACUAUAUGGUCUGAAUGACCAAAUAAUUAUGGCUAAAAGUUUCGUGUUUGUUUUAUCCUUGUUUUGUGACAACAUGACUUCACACACUAGUUAACUCAAUUCAGUACUGUCACACUGAUGGUGAUGAUGGUGUGGAAUAGGAGGGUAAAGGUAGAUGUUAGAUUCAGUACUUUGCUUUGUGAGUCGUAUAUGAACCGAUAAAGCAAUUCUUUGGUCUCCAGGCCUUAGUAAGAAAAUUAAUAUAGUAAAUUGUGUUAGAUUUUUAAAAGCAGUUCUUCUAACUGAAGAUCAGAACUGUUGUACAAAUCAACUUGCAGAACAUUUGGUUUUCUGUAGCAGUGGUGAUGGUGGGAUGCUGGCAGAAAAAAGAACCCAGACAUCAUAUUUCGAAGGACAAUGUUAAGUGAACUUGAAAGUUUGAAUUAAUUAACAUUAUAAAGGCAGAGGAUAUGCCUCUGUUCCUAGACAAAUUUACAUUGUGCUAUAUUCGACAGUAAGCAUGCCAUUUGAGGAAACGUUUCCAGACCUUUUCUCUGCUUUGACCGCUAAUAAUACAAAAAAUAUUCGGAUUUAUCAUGCAAAAAUCUUAUUAUUACUAGAUUUUGCAUAAACGAUUUUCAGUUGGAAGCUAAACAUAUAAAAUAAAAAUAAAAGUGGGCAUAGGUAUGUGUAAGAUAUAUAUUUCACCAAACCAGGCUGAAAAAGUGACUGUCGCUGUAAUUUUGUAGUCAUUCUUGCUCAGACUUUGACUUGCUGUUUUAAAAAGGGACAACCUAUGCACACACUUGUUGAUUGAAGAGAAUAUUUUUUGGAUGUAGGGGAUGUUUCCAAAGCAUCGGCCAGUUUAUCUGCUGCAAGCAGAGGGGUAGCGGAUAAACAAACUGAAGGUCUCAUGCAGAAAUUUACCAGUAGACAGUGUCCUGGAGAAAAUUCAAAGGAACGUCAAAAGCUUUUUGAAUAUCUACGCAGUAGAAGAUCGUAAACAGCUAACUGCUGCUACUAGUUUUAUGCAAUGAAUGAGCUGCUUUGCUACCUGUGUUAUAAUAUGUGAUGAAGAAGUGUUGUGCUAAGUCAAUUUGCUAUUGCUGGGACAUCGCAUUUCUGAUAUUAUUAGAAGGAAUUGACAUUUUCCCUUUUUCUUUACCAAGAGCAUUUCCUCUUUAUAUACUCCUCUACUUAAAGCUGGCUACUACAGAGCUAGCUUUAAUGCGAGACCCCGUUUCGUGCACUGUUGAGCAGCCAAAUCUUUACAAAGUUCAAACUAGAUCGAAGAGAAAAUGUUGAUCAUCUGGAUGAUACUAACUGCUAGAACAGGCUCAAUAGCAGUUCUAUUUAAGUAUAUAGAAUUCAGCAAGUUGAUGAGGACGUGAGGGGUUAGACUUGCAAAUCACUUCUGCAGAGGCACGGCCAUGGGCAAAAAAAAAAAAAAAGAACGUCUAUCCAUGGAGCAGGUUUGGUAGGCACUCUGCAUCAAGUCAUAUGUACCAUAAGGUUGACAUUGGUUAUGUGAUCAACAUCGUCAAGCACGAGCAUAAAAACAUAUUGAAUAAACAGACCAAAGCAUUUGGACUAGAUUGUGCGCCAGUUGGAACAAAACAUUUGCUCACUCAACUUCAGAUUUGAAGCUUGGCACCGAACGAGGACAGGGCGUCGACCCGUUGGCUGGGCAGCUGAGGUUGCUGCCAGCCCUCCCGAGUUCGAGUCCCGGCGACGCGCGGUGCUCACGGAGUUUCUCCUAUAAAAAAAAGCCAACAAGGGUUAGCCCUUGGGUUGGUCUCAUUUUUUUUUUUGAAGCUUGACACCAAACCGCUUUGACUUGCAAACAAGCAGGAUGAUUAUAGCCUCUGUUUUGAAGCGACAACAGGGACAAAGCUUGUGAGCUUGCUGAUGUUUCUCGUACCUCGUUCCAAAGAGAAUGCAAAGAAUCAGGAUCACUCUGAAAUGCAUCUCGUUAUCAAUGCCCAUAGUUUCACAAAGAAAAAGAGGCUCUUCGCACCCCACCCUGGUAAUAUGAGAUGAUCUUAUUAAUAUAUACCACUAGACCAGAGAAUAAUUUAUGACAUACUCAUAUAAAAUCUUUUAAUAAAUCUUGCAAGCAUGUCCUUUAUGCGCUUUUAGAAGAGUAUUUCGCUGAAGCAAUGACCUACUUCCACCAAAGGAUGUCAUCGCCUUCUUGUAUAAUUGGUGCAAUUUCUUGACCGGGCUACCCUCCCAACGUUAGGGGGCGUUUGAGGAUCCUAUUGUAGAGGCUCUUAGGUUUUGCUCAAAAAAGAUGUUUGUAGGUCACAAAGCUCAUACCCAGAAUACACUAGGAAGGGACACAUGAUAAGGAUACUUCGAGAAGAACAUGCAGAGAUUCAGGUCUUUACUCUUGGACCUUGCAGCGGAGUGGAUGGCAGCCUCAACUUUGAACUUUCAGAAUCUUUUUCUUUAUGCCUCACGUUGUGUCACCAUUUUCCAUGUACCAAAUAUUUUAUAAUGAUCGUUUCACCAGAAAGAGCUUUUUUCCUUUUCUGAGUCGACCAGAAAGAGCGCCUUCACACCUAACCAAGCAGCAACACAAUUUUACCAAUGUUGAGCAAGAACAAGUCAAAAAUAAAAAUAGAAGCAAUACUAGCCAUCUACUAAAACAAUGUCCACAGAACAUUCUAAGGUGAACAACCACAGAUUAUAACCACAAUUACACAAGACAUUACUAAACCGUUCGUUGUGCGGUAACAGACAAACAGCAACCAGCUCGGCAGACAUGGAUCAAUAUAUACAAGUUAUAGCACGAGGUUCAACCAGUCUCCGUAUGAAUGUAGCAGAAUUUGACGGCUCAGACAAAUAGUACAGAGCAUAAAAGCACAAGAGCUUAACGGUAGGGGGGGUGGGGGGGGGGUGGGGGGGUCUGGUUCUCUUCCAGGUGGCUAUCCUUGAGGGCGUCAUGUUCUUGUGGUGGCGCAUGGCGGUGACGCAGCUCACAGUGCUUGUGCACAGGCUUGCAGAGUCAGUUGAUCCUUGGGUCGUUGCGACAGCAUCGUGUGCAACACCAACGAGGAGGACCUCGGUUUCUUCAGUAACAGACGUCUGUUCCUCUGGAUAAAACCCUGGUGCUUGGGCUUAUCAUAGACAAUGCCCUUGGGCACUGGCCUCUUCCUGACACAGAUACGGUAGACCACAUGCCCCUGGUCACAAGAACAUAUACGAGGUAAGCAAAGGAUAAAAUAUUAAGCCGUUAUACCAUGGAGAAAGGAGUACAGAAUAAGAUAGACCUGUGAAUGGGCAAAGAAAGCUGCAGAAAUCAUAAGCUAUGCAUGCACCAACGCUAAAUGGGCCAUAAAAUUUUACUAAAUGAUAACACCACUGAGCAUCUAAUAACAAAUAUCGAAACUACCAAUUGAAACCACAAUGCAAUGUAUAAACCAAAGUAACUUGCUGCAUAGAAAUCUAGUGACAAUACUUCCGUGUGCAAGACUCAAGUAGAAGCAGACAUCUACACUGAAACAACACAAGCAUUAGGCACAAAAGGUUUUGCACCAACUAUGUCCGCAAUACAUGAGUUUCAGAAACCAUAAACUGAACGACAUAGUUAAAAUUAGUACUCAGAAACAAAGACAACAAAGGCAAGAGGUUGAAACUUGUACACUUGGUACCUAAUGCAGGAGACAACCCUAUGUCAUCAUAAUCUUACGCAUCAAAUAAUCUCUUAUCGAUGACCAUCCCUUCCGUCACCAACAGAAGAUCCCAGACAUCAUUCAACCUACAAAAGGUGCAUUUCGGUUAGUACAUAUGCUUGGUGCUAGAAUUGUAUAUAGUAUACACUUAACAGACCAAAUGCUUAGCUUGCACACGUAUUACUCCAUAUAGCAAGUAAGGCUUGGUACAAUGAAUCUCCAUAGAGCACAGAAUUUUCAAGUCAAAAGUACAGAGGAGAUGGGAUCCCACAAGUAUCUACUGGAGCAUUUCAUUGAAGAUUAUAAACAUACCCCCUUUAUCAUUGGGAGUACUGAUAACAAAAGCAAUGUAGAAACACACUUUCAAUAAGAGACUAACUGCACAUCACAUGCUUUUUAAACUCUAUUCCAUAGUGCAAUCGAAUAGUUGAUUUAUAACUGCACAUCGCAUACUGGAGAUUGUAAAAAAGAACAUGCAAGGACACAGGAAGUACUUACAUCACUGACACUUCUUCAGUUAUGCAAGCAGAAAAAAUAAGUUGCUGCAUUAUCGAUGGCAUUUGAUGCAAAAUGUGACACAAUAGAAGAUCUAUUUCAACCAGCCUCUUUAUUUUAGCUUUGCCAUCCUCCUGUAACAAAAAAUAUUUUAUGAAGAUGAUUCUUACUUGACAAAGAGGAAGAACUAAGUGAUUCAUAUGGUAACCUCACCGCGGGUUCUGCCAGAUGCUGUAUACAAUUGCGUACAAAUGUUAGGAGGCUUUCAAGUGAUGAAUCAUACACAAGAUCUCCAUAAUUUUGAAGCGGUGUAGUCAUCUUCACAGGGGAGCCUUCCUUGGGGGAGCCUUGGGGCUGUUUCUUCUUUUUCUCUUUCUUCUUCUGUUUCUUCUUCUCUUUCUUCUUCUCUUUCUUCUUCUCUUUCUCUUCCCUAAGAUGUAAACCUCAAGGAGGGUCGGAUUCUUUUUUACCAGUUAUCUCCAAUCAGGCACCUGUACCGUGAAACCCCUCAGAGCUGUUGAUAAUGCAUUCCUUCCUUCUUUGCUUAGAAACCUAUGGACCCUUCCCAGCUCGGUCCAAAAUUGCGACCUGAUCAUUGCUGAUUUUAUUGAAAGAUGUGUCAUCGUAAAAAAUCUAAACUUUCUAGCCAAAUCCCGAGUAAAAUGUCGAGGCCUGAAUUUUCUCAGAGAGUUGCCAAGAGCCUUGAAAAGAGCAGCUUCCCCAAACAAGGGAAGGAACUCGCUGGCAAAAUUCCCAUAGUCCUUCAGUAAUGCAUCUGGAGAAGAACUCACAACGGUUGGUUUCCAUAUCAUAAACUCUGAGUCAUCGACUACCACAAAAUCUUUCUUUUGGAGAGUCCCAUUCCAACUGUUACCCAGUGCAUGUUCUACAGUCAUUUUAUGCAAAUAAGAAGUCACUGCUCUUCUUCCUAUCAAUGUUGUUUCAUCAACCUCCAUGGAAUUUGCACCAGAAAAUAUUGUAUGUUUUGCGGUUAUUGCAUUACCAGGCAAUUUAAUAAAUUCAGUGAAUGGUACCACACUGCAAAUAUAACAUUCAAAUUAUGUUAAUAAAUCAACUCAAAUGAAAAAUACAACUUCGAAUAAGCAACAGUAUGCACAAACAACAAAGAUGGUAAACGCCACAAAAUAAAUUAACUCAAAUGAUAAAUACAACUUUGAAUAAGCAACAAUAUAGACAAACAACAGAGAUGGUAAAUCCAGAAAACAUGUUGUAUUUGAGACAACCAUAAUGGUUUAUUAUUGUGUGCGUGGAAAUAAGAGCUCUACUCCAAAAAAGACUGUUUGGCAUCAUAGCAAUUUGCAAAGCUGGAACCCCUGUCCAAGCAUCGGAAAAGGUCAAACCUGGAGGUGCCAGCAUUCGCUGCAGAUGGAAACAACUUGUAAGCAGAAGCUGUGGAUGAUAGACUUUCCAAGGCAGUGUUAGAUGAUGAGUCAGACACCUUAAAUCUGUGUGCCUUCCUUUUUGAAGUUACUACAGUCCAAUCACCCCCAUGAGUCUCGUCGGUCCCAAUUACUAGUGGCUUCCCAAUUACUAGUGGCUUCCAUUUUAAAGUUACUCCAGAAAAGUUAGCCUCAAGGGUGCCAAAAUGAGUUAUAGAAGUGGUGCCCCAUGAUGGGGCAGUCUGCGCAAGUGGGACAGAAACCUGCACAGAGGGCUCCGCUGAAUCCCUUGCAAGGCAACUAAGGUCUGCAAGGUCAUUUCUUGGACUAAAAGAUCCAUCAACAGACUUCUGCUCCUGUGUGACCUGCGUGCAGGUCUCCUUUGAGCGAGCUAGAAAUUGCCUUGUAUGGUUAAGAAAGCCCGCGUCGUCACCUUUUGAAUUAAAAAGUCCAUCAACAAAUUUCUGUGCCUGUGGGAAACAUAAACUUCAGGUUGAAGCUAGUUAGUUAAAAUAAGAUACAGUACUCGAGAGAUCAUACCAUUUUAUCUGUCAUGCCAGGAAAUGCUGAACUGAGAAAUUUUAUAGUACAGUCUUGAACAAACAUCAUGUUGCAUUGUGUGGAUGAGAUAAGGGGUUCAGUCAGAACAUCAACCUAAACAUGUCAGAAGAGGUAAAAAUCAAAGAGGCACACACAAAUGUCAUAUAAUAAAACAGCAAAUGAGUAUUAACAUACCGCAUUAAACAAAUGUUGUAGCACAGAAACAUGACGUUCAGAACAAGAAUUGUUGGGCAUGCCCAUAAGAAUAGUGAGUAUCGUUUGCUCAAUUCUCAAGAGAUUUGUUUUGUAGAAUUGGUUUUGGAACCCUGAAGCCUGGCAUGAUAAGACACAAUAAACUUACGUGUAACUAUACAACAUUAAAUGAGGAAUUGCCACAAUAUCCGAUAAAGAUAUGCCUAUUAAGCACCUGAACGUUCUGUAGUACAUCCAAUAACAGGCACAGGACAGUCUCAACAAUGUUUAUCUCCCUCCGCUGUAGUGCCCAAAUAAUGUAAUCCAUAACAUGGUUUAAUCGCUGAAACAGAAAAUCAAUAAUCAAGUAAAAGAAAAGAAACAUAUUAUGCUAUGGUAGUAAUUCUGCAGUUGCAACUUACAUAAAGAUAUAUAUAAUACAUACCUCACAUGAAUUAUCUGUCAAUACUUGGAAACAGUGUGUAACAAACACUUGAAGCAAGGAAAAGAGAUUAGAACAGUGCUCCGGUUUUUUGUUGAUCUGAUAGCGCAACAAAAAAAAUGCAAUGUCAGCCAUAUGAUCAUAAUUGUAAGUCCCACAGGAAUAUUGGAAAUACCUGCAUCUGCACCUCAGGAGUAUCCUGGAAAACAGCAUCAAAUAUUCGAGAUACCCCCUCCAGCAUAUCACUUGAGAACCUAUACGUGGAGUUGAAUACGACGUUACAAGAAACGACGAGAUAUACAUAUCUAAACAAAUAAACCUUAAACCAAAACGGGUGACAACAAACUACUCACUCCGUUCCUAAAUAUAAGUCUUUUUAGAUAUUCCAAUAUGGACUACAUACAGAGUAAAAUGAGUGAACCUACACUCUAAAAUAUGUCUAUAUACAUCCGUAUGUAGUUCAUAUUGAAAUCUCCAAAAAGGCUUAUAUUUAAAAACAGAGGGAGUACAAGCUUACUUGAUUAUAAUCGUUGAAAAUAAGGACAGAGCUUCAUGCUCUAUUGUGUCUCGGUUAUAAUCAGAGAGUACAGAGUCCACUAAUGGAAGAACAAACUGUUUUUGCAGCUGUGGUAAAUCUUCAGCCUUGACCACAACAGUUUCCAUUAAUUUCAAGAUCUCCAUCUUGACAGAUCUACAAAUUCAAAUUGAAAAUUUAGCAAAAUCUACAAAUGAGAAGAAGCAAAGAAUAGUAAGUUAUACCUUAAACAUUGUAAUUCCAAAGCAAGUGGCCCAUCUUCAGAGCCCUCAUCUACGAGUUGUUUUGAUAUCAGUUCGCUGCACAAGCUGGCGUGCAACAGAUGUUUGUGUGUUAGCAAGCAACACAACACAAAAUGCAAUAAAGAAAAGAGAGAGUUCAAGAUAGUCUUAAAGAACUAUUACUGACAAAGUAAUAAACUCUAAAUAGUCAAACCCACUAGAAUUUCAUGAAAUUCUAAGUUAAGUACCUAUACAGCUUCAACAUAUCAGAGGAGACAUGUGAAAUUUGUGGGAAAAACUGUGGGCCGAGUGAACUGGCAACACAAACAUUCAUCUGCAAAAACCAAGACACCCAAUUUUAGGAUCAAACAAUAAAUAAAACUAGAGAAAAGGAAACUAAAACCAAUUACAAAUAUUUGCCUUGGCAGGUAUUAAAAAUGGCAUAGGUCAUGCUUCUAAUAACACAAAGAUUAUUGGUUCAAUUAUCAGAUAAGCUGACAGUUGGUCCUUGACAGAGAAACUAAAUAUUAAAUGUCACUAUUAUAUUCUUCUCAAAAGAGAACUACUUGAUAAUACUUGAUAGUUGAUACUGCUAUUUGAAACAUAUUAUGUGACCUAACUGUGGAGAAGUUUGCAAUUACCUAAGAAUGAUGUAUACAAGACGAGUAUUACGAUUACAGGUACAACCAAAAGAUUAACUACUACAGCUAUCAUCAUGAGGAGAAGUGCACUCAAGACCCAUAAUUCAGAUAUGAAAUUAAAAGUUCUGAAUAAAAUCCACUUAGUAGAUUCCAUUCUCCAUUUUAUUACCUGCAAGAUGCUAAUAACAGAUAAGGCAUUGUCUUCCUUACAUAUGUCCAUGAUUUGGCCUUCCGCUGCAAUUAUUUCUGCCAGUUUCUGCAAAAUUAAAAGAUAUAAAUAGCAAUGUUAUAAAUCAAUUAAAUGGGGGGCAGACAUGAUAACAUUGUAACAUUGUAUUGGGAUAAGUAACCUCAUUUGAAAGGCUCAUUAAUCUUUUGAGGUAUUUCACAUUAUCAGAUUCAGCUUGAAUCAUCUCACAUGCCUGGAUAGAUAUGAAACAUAAGAUACAAUCUAUAGUUCGCCCACUGCAUAAUUCUUUUUAUUCUACAACAUACCGAUUGGUAAAAUAGGUGGAUUUCAUGCUGUUCGAGCUCUGCCAUCAAUUUAUCGAGAUACCAUUCCCUCUUAGUGUUAUCAGAUUCACUGAGAAUGUGCUUACCAACCUGGAUAAGAUAACAGAAAUAUAAAAAAGAAAUCCGUAGCCCGCCAACUGCACUGCAUAAAUGAACAUACCAGUUGAAAGAAUGUGUUGAUCCUGUUAGGCAUAUGAUGUGCAAUCAAAGCACGUAGGUUCACUAAAAGCUCCAGAUUUAAAUGUUCAUUUUCACUUGUCUGCAUAACCAUGAAGGAAGUUGAAAUUAGACAGUAACAGCUGUGCAUCACAUAGCACCACAUUUGCUCAUGUGUUUCAGAAUAAAAACAAUAGUCCAAAUUUGUACACAUUAUAAUGACUUCAAACACAAAACAAAACAAAAUGCCGCAAAUCAAAAUCUUCCGCACUUGUCAUGUUAUAAAAUUAAGAACCACAAGCAACUCCUUGUUAAGUGUCAAAAACCUCAGACAGUGGGUCACCAAGAACAACAUUAACUAAACCCUUGUCCAAGGCACAACUCCAGAUCCUAAUGAUAAGAGCUUGAGCUAAGCGCUUGAGCCUGAUAUUAAAUAAAAUGGUACAAAAGAAGGAGACCUCAUAGUGAAAAAGAUAAUCAAGGGGUCCCACCCAGAUGUACAAAGGUGAGAAAAGACAAUCUUCUACUAUCAUUGGUAGAUAAUCAAGGGGUUCCACCCAGAUGUACAAAGGUGAGAAAAGACAAUCUUCUACUAUCAUUGGUAAUAAUUUCUCAUUCCAGAACAGAGAAAGAGAACCAGUCUAGGAAUGAUCGCAUCGACUACGGUGAGACCACUUGACACUAUUUGUGACCAAGUAGCACAACUAAGUUAUCAUGACAUAGACUAAUGGUGGUAAUAGUAAUCAACUGAAAAUAAAUCAUUUCUCGAUUUGAAAUUUGAAUUAUACUGACCCUAAUCAAAUAAUGGGAGACAAGGAUAAUUUAUAGUGUUUCUUCCACUUUGGCCUGCUGUACAGUGUAUUUACCAGUGUUGCAUGUGAGGUAGUUACCGCUCGCAGGGUCAGAGUCACGCACCAACAAGGAGCAUGCUGCCCAUACUAGUGACUGCAGAUCUAUGUUUUUCAUCAAGUUACCUUACGCACUAGCAGUUCUGUAGGAACGACUACUGUGAAGGAUCCAGGGGUGCUGGUAAUUGUGCUUUAAAUGGGCAUGUGUCAUUAAAAAAUGUAGCUCACUCAUAAACCUGUUGCUUACAAGGAAAAUGCACCCAUUUUGGGUGGGUGGAUGUGGCUUUUCUGGGGCUAGGGAAAUAACUUACAAAAUUUGUCAUAGGAGCUUCUUCUACCACUGGUGUAAAGCAGCAAGUCAUGUAUUCUCCACAGCCAUCCUAGUAAUUGUCAUACGAGGAAAAAUGAGUCAGUACAGAUCACAUUUCAAUCGAACACAGGACUGGCGGAGAAGGUAUGACUUGCCUCACGUAACCUUUGCCAGACAAUGUCUGUUGUUAAAAAUCCAACAUCUGUUUGUAAAAGAUAUAGUUCUCCAUUGUGCUGAACAUGGAAGUAUGGCAAAAAAAUUAAACAAGCAGCACUGCAAGGCUAUUAACAAAAUCAGAGAUACUGACUUGAUAAUUUAUUUUACCUUCAUCAUAGUGCUAAAGCUCAGACACGUUGAGCCACGUUGAGAGAGGCAUGAGGGCGACCCCCCGGGCGACGGUGGGGGCGACCACCGAGGCGCGCCGCCCCGCGGCGGCAGAACGGGCAGGCGUGGGCGGCCGUUUCUGGGCUUUACUUGAUUCAGACGACGAGGAUGCCGACGGGGACGGAGAGGAUCCAGGAGGUUCACCGACGUCGCCUACUCCGUCGGAUUUGAUUUUCGAUCUAUUUCAUGCAGGUUACUCCGAGGAUGAUGUAGCCACAACCGUAGACUCGGUUUUGCCGGUGGAGGAUCCGGCACGGAUCGGGUUACAUCCGGACGAGAGGAACGAGAUGGUGCGCCGUGUAGUUCACCGGAGAACGGCGGCGACGGCGGUCCGGCCAUGGAAGGGCCCCAUACCUAAGGUACGCCUUCCAAACCUCACGCUUUUCGAUUUAAUUCAUCCGGAUUCGUGGACGGUAGUCGAGAAGAGUAGGGCAUAUCGCCGGUCGAGAGCCGGAUCACUGCCGGCGGCGGCGGCUGUGGUGACGUCGCGGAAGCCGAGCGGGAUCCGGGAGGCUCGCAGCGAGCGCUUGAACGAGCUACUGGGCCGGUUUGGGCCUGAUUUACCAAGCGAUGACGCCUUGCUAAGUGGGCCGGAGAUGGCUGGGUAUGAGGCCCAGACCAUCCCGAGCGCCACAUGCAUUGCUGCUAGCGCUGCAUGCACGGACGUGAUCGACUCUUCAUUCGCGUGCGUUUCUGCGUCUGCGCCUAGGGUUCGUCGGCGCGGGACACCUAUCCUACCACCAUGCGGUGCUGGCCGCGCUCGCCGGAUUCCCCCGCUACGCGCGAUGGCUGGUCAAGGCUCGGGUGGGCUGCCGGCAGCGAAGCCCCAUGCGGUUGCGGGCAGGGCUGGGGCAGUCGUGCCGCCGCCGCCGCCUGGAAGUGCUGGGCGAGGGGCCCCCGGUGCAGGGCGUGGCGCAGCCGGUGCUGGGCUUGUUGCUCCCGGCGCCGGGCGAGGCGCUCCUACCCUCUCGGGACGGACUGGCGCCAACCACGGGACGCGGCCGCCCGUGCCUGCGACGGCCGGGCCGCCGGUGUUAACUACUGGCAGUGGAAGACCUGCUGGUCCCCGACCUCCGGGGCCAACGCCGGCCAGGCCGCCGGGCAUAGCCGCGGGAAGAGGAGCCCCAGUAGGGCCGCGACCUCCGGGGCCGUCGCCUCCGGUGGCCACUGCCAUGGGUCGUGGCGGCGGGUCUGGUCCUAGCACUGUGGUGCCGGCCCCGGGUGGUGCUCCGCCUCGGGCUGCUCCGCCGCCGCACUAUGUCGCGAGGCCGGCUCAGUAUCGGUCAGGGUCUUCGCAGCCUAGGAAGGAGUUUACAGCUCGAGAGUCUUUUGAGGCACCCCGAGGUCAGUGGGGUGAUGAUGGUGUUGAUGCGUAUGGAGAUGGACAGCACCGCGGUUCCUCGUCUACCGGUGGAGGCCGAGGCUAUACGUGGCAGAGUGACGGGUCUGCUGAGAGACCUUUCCUCGGGCCUCCUGGUGGCUUUGUCGAGGGGGCAUCCGGCCCGGAUCCCCGCCAAAGAGGUGGAUUCCGUGGAUGUCGGGGUGGUCGGGGUGGGGGCCGUGGUAGGUUUCGUCGGCAACCUCCACCUCCGGUUGCUGUUGACCAUGGGGCUACUGCGGUUGAGACAGAUACUGCUCAGUCUACGGAUAUUACUACUCAGUCUAUAGAGGUGGUAACGGCACUGGCCAAGGUUGAUGUUCCGGUGCCUGGGGCUGUAGGUGAAACAUCAGACAGGUCUGACUCCGAGAGGGCGGCCCAGUGGGCGCGCAAGAAGGAAAGGAUGCUGUGUUACCGGUGUGGUGAGAAGGGCCAUUUUAUUGCAGAGUGCAUCGCAGAGCUGUGUGACUCGUGUGGCAAGCUUGCACAUGAUUCGGGGGAUUGCCCGUUAGUGCGUGACCAGGCUCCAUCUCUGACUAUGUAUGUGCUGUACUGUGCGGAGUUAUUGUUCUUCGAGUCCCCGGCCGCGAGGGAGAUUCCCGAGGAUACACAGUGCCUAACUACCGGGAUUGUGAAAGCAACUCAGGGCGAGGUGACUGAGGCUCAGAUCAUCCAGAGGCUUCAGGAGUUGGCACCGGGGGACUUUCAGUGGGAGCUGGUCAGACUCGAAGCGAAUGUCUUUAAGGUGGAUUUCCCUUCUGUGGAGGAUUUAUAGAAAUUGCAGAGUUUUGGCUUGUGUAGAGUUCCAGGUACUAUGUGUAUUUUGGAGUUUCACGAGUGGACGAAGGUGGAGCCUAAAGGCAAGCCGCUUACGCAGAUCUGGUUGCGGUUCUCUGGGGCUCCAUCUAAGCCUCUGCAGGACGUUCGAGUUGUAGCCAGUAUGGGUAUCAUGGUUGGAAAGACGGAGAGAGUGGAUAUGGCCUUCACUAGGGCUCAUGGAGUGGCUCGGAUAUUGGUGAGUGUUCUGAAUGUUGACUUCGUGCCUGAUGUCGUUCACUGGACAUAUAGGGGAGAGGUAUUCCCGCUCGACAUAGAGUUUGAGGAUGUUGAGAUGUUCGCUGACAAGGUGGCUGGGGAUGAUGUUGAUAUGCACGAGAGUGAUGGUGGUGCAGGGGCCACGGGGGCGCCAGACGAGUCUGCUCGAGAGGGGUCGACCGGACCUCAUACAGAUGCUCAGUUGCCUGGGGAGGGGACCGGAGCUGGCUCGACUCCGCCUUCGGUGCCCACGAUGACACUACGUUUUGGGUCCUUUGAGCCUGCUUCUGCGCCUCCCAAGCUGUGGAGCGAUAGGGUAGAGACUGAUGAUGAGUUUGAGCACACGCUUCCUUCUUUGGACUUUGUGGGGACUGCAGUUCGGGAUGUAGAGCCGGAGGUCGCUCCUAGUUCCCUUGUUGUACCGGUUGAGGUGGCUCCGGCAUUGUCAUCAAUGACCAAGGUGGGCCUCACGGGACGGGGGUCAAGGCAGGUGGCCUUUUCCUCUCCCCUACCUAUACAGACGCCGGUGUCACCGGCCAAGUCGGGGGCCGCCAGCGAUAGGAGCGGGAGUCCGAGGCAGGUGGCUUCGGCUCUCCCUCCUCAGGCCCUGGUUGUGGCGCCAGUAUCCACCGGGACACCGGGGGAGGAGGGGCUGGGGCAGGUGGCCUUAGACUUCCCUUCAUCGUCUGCGGUCAGGAGGACCGCUUCCUCGGCGACUUCGACGCUCCGCUCUGAGCCGGUGGGCGGGGCAGGAGGAGGGAGUGGGCAGGUGGCCCCAGCUGUCCCGCCUCUUGCCAUACCCGCCGGGCACUUUUCUGAGGGCAUCGGGAGCCCGCAGCUCCCUCAUUCUCGAGAGGAGGUUGUUGCCUUCGGUGGUAUCCCAGACCCGGUCUCGAUGGGGAGACGGAUCAGUGCUCGCGUUCUGGACCUUCCGGAGGUGGACGAUAUGCAGCAGCGGUGCGCUAUGAGGGCGGCCAAGCUUCACGAUGCUGCGAUAUCUACUGGUAUGUCCGUUAACAUAUCUAAUUCUUUAUUGCAUUUUGCUCCUGAGGAGAUUGUUAAUAAUGCAAACCAAUUAGGAGUUUCACUAGGCGCUAAUGAUAUUGAAACCUCCAAUUCGGUGAAUGAUAUGUUAGAUUUAGAGGCGGAGCGGGCCUUAGAGACUAUUCGUCAUCUUGCUGCGGUCAAGCCCAUGAAUGAUGAGGAAAUUGAUGCUUAAGGGGUUAGAGUGCUAAAUAAUCUAUGUGCGGACCUAGUACCUUCUAAUCAGGAGUCGGAGGGCGAGGAUGUGCCCUUAGAGGAUGUAGAUAUCAGGACCAUUCAGUCCGAUUAUGAGGACCGGGUGACGGAGCACACUAAGCCAAGGUGUAAGUGGAAGCGAAAGAUUUAUCCCGACUCUGCUGUUCGUAGGAGUGCUAGGAUUCGGACUGCUAAAAAAUUCCAUGAUGAACUAUGAAAGGAAUCUUUUGGAAUAGCAGAGGUCUGAAAGACUUGGCUAAAAGAAGGUUUCUUGCUGAAGCUUCUCUGGAACAUCGAUUAGAUUUCGUUGCUCUGUCGGAAACCGGGCGAGAUAAUUUUGCACCGCAGUUUCUUUCCUCUCUUGUGGGUGGUCUUGAUUUCGAUUGGCAUUGCCUCCCGCCACGAGGUAGAUCGGGGGGCAUCUUACUGGGUGUGAGAUGUGACUCCCUUGAAGUCCGGAGUGUAGUAAUGGGUGACUUCGCGGUAAAGUUUCGAGUUAGGUCUAAAGUUGAUGGGUUCAACUGGGCUUUGGUAGCGGUCUAUGGUGCCGCCCAACCCGAGCUUAAACCGGAGUUUCUGGCGGAUCUAGUUCAGAUAUGUGGGUCCGAACAGCUUCCGAUUUUGGUCGGGGGUGAUUUCAAUAUCAUUAGAAGGAGAGAGGAGAAAAACAAUGAUAACUUCGACGACAGGUGGUCGUUCAUGUUCAAUACUAUUAUUGAAAGCUUAGAUCUAAGGGAGAUAGAGCUCACUGGUAGACAGUUUACCUGGGCUAAUGCUAUGCCAAACCCGACAUAUGAAAAGCUUGAUCGGGUUCUCGCCAGCAUGGAGUGGGAACAGAAGUCCCCUCUUGUUACGGUGCAAGCUCUCACGCGGGGAAUCUCCGAUCACACACCUUUGUUCGUGGACUCAGGGGAGCCGAACCAUACAGGAAACAAAAACACCUUCUCUUUUGAGAUGGCCUGGUUCGAACGCGAGGGAUUCUUAGACAUCAUAGCCAGGGAGUGGGCUAAGGGUGUUGGAGGAAGGACGGCGGUCGAGCGCUGGCAGAAUAAAAUUAGGCAUUUGAGAAGUUUCUUACGGGGUUGGGCUAAGCAUCUAAGUGGGGUGUAUAAGAUUGAGAAGGAUAGGCUCCUCUCUCUUGUACAGGCAUUGGACGUCAAAGCUGAAUCCGCAUUGUUGCUGCCCAUCGAGCUCCAAGUUAGAAAUGAGGCGGAGAAGAGGCUGAAAGAACUUCUCCGCGAAGAAGAAUUGAAGUGGGCUUUGCGUGCCAAGGUCCGCAAAGUAGUCCAAGGGGACGCGAAUACUCAAUUUUUCCACCUCAUUGCUAAUGGUAAACACAGAAAGAAGCGGAUCUUUCAGCUAGAGCAGGAUGAGGGUACUAUUUUAGGGCAGGAUAAUCUCAAAACCUAUAUUACCGAAUACUAUAGACAGCUAUUUGGACCGCCGGAGGCCAAUUGUGUGUCCCUCGAUGAGUCCAGGGUUGAGGACGUGCCUCAAUUGACUGCUGCUGAUAAUGAUAUCCUGGUUGCCCCAUUAUCAGAAAAGGAGGUGUUUGAUGCUAUUGCACAAAUGAAAAACAAUAAGGCUCCCGGUCCGGAUGGGUUCCCGGCUGAGUUCUAUAAAAAGUGUUGGCACAUUAUUAAGGGGGAUUUACUACCUAUGUUUCAUGAUCUAUUCUCUAGACAGCUUCAAUUAUCUCACCUGAAUUUUGGAACUAUCACAUUGCUUCCGAAGAAAACGGAUGCUGCGAGGAUUGAGCAGUUCAGGCCGAUCUGCCUCCUCAAUGUUAGUUUCAAAAUCUUCACCAAGGUUGGAACUAAUAGGCUCACACAGAUUGCGCAAUCUAUGGUGCAGCAAUCCCAAACUACUUUCAUGCCGGACAGGAACAUCCUUGAAGGGGUGGUUGUCCUUCAUGAAACGCUCCAUGAAAUCCAUUCCAAAAAAUUAGAUGGAGUAAUUUUAAGGUGGAUUUCGAAAAAGCGUACGAUAAAGUUAAGUGGCCAUUCCUCCAACAGGCACUGCGUAUGAAAGGUUUUGAUGAAGCCUGGCGCCGACAGGUCGAAUCAUUUACGCAAAAAGGGAGUGUGGGAAUUAAAGUGAAUGACGACAUAGGUCAUUAUUUCCAGACACACAAAGGCCUAAGACAAGGAGAUCCGAUGUCCCCUAUCCUGUUUAACAUUGUGGUGGAUAUGUUAGCAAUUUUGAUAGGCCGGGCUAAGGAAAAUGGUCAAGUGGGUGGGUUGGUUCCUCAUCUUGUGGAGGGGGGUGUUUCCAUCCUUCAGUACGCCGAUGAUACAAUCAUCUUUAUGGAGCAUGAUUUGGCCAAGGCGAGAAAUAUGAAGCUUGUGUUAUGUCUGUUUGAACAAUUGACCGGGUUAAAGAUUAACUUCCAUAAGAGCGAAUUGUUCUGCUUUGGUAGAGCCAAAGACGACCAGGAGUCUUAUAGGCAGUUGUUUGGGUGCGAGUUGGGGAGUUUACCCCUCUCUUAUCUUGGAAUCCCGAUUCAUCAUCGUAGGCUAACAAACAGAGAAUGGAAGUGCAUCGAGGAUCGAUUUGAGAAAAAACUGAGUUGUUGGAAGGGUAAGCUCAUGUCAUACGGAGGCCGGUUGAUAUUGAUUAAUUCGGUGCUCACGAGUAUGCCUAUGUUUCUCUUAUCUUUCUUUGAGGUCCCAGUUGGUGUUAAGAAACGACUGGACUUCUAUCGGUUGCGCUUCUUUUGGCAGGGUGAUGAACUUAAAAGAAAAUACUGUCUUGCUAAAUGGGACAUCAUCUGUAGACCGAAAGACCAAGGGGGUCUUGGUAUUGAAAAUCUUGAAGUCAAGAACAGAUGUCUUCUGAGUAAGUGGUUGUGGAAGCUGUCCUCCGGGACUGAGGCCAUGUGGGCGCAGAUCCUCCGCAACAAGUACCUCCAAACUAAAACAUUGUCCCAGGUCGCAGUCAGGCCAACUGACUCGCCCUUCUGGAAAGGACUAAUGAAAGUCAAACAAUCUAUGUUCAUUAGGACGAGAUUUGUUAUUGGAAACGGUACAAGUACCCGCUUCUGGGAGGAUAUUUGGCUUGGUGAAUCACCUUUAGCCAUUCAAUAUCCGUCUUUAUAUCGGAUUGCUCAACGACGUGAGGUAUUCGUGGCAACGGUAUUCCGAUCUAUUCCCCUUAAUAUUCAGUUUAGACGGUCGCUAGCGGGCAAUCGUUGGGAAGAAUGGCUUCAUCUAGUUAGGAGACUGAUGGAGGUUCAACUUUCUUACCAACCCGAUAUGUUGCGUUGGAAGUUGACUAGUUCUGGAGCAUUUACAGUUAAAUCAAUGUAUAUUGAUGUUAUUAAUUCGACUGCUAUUCCAACUUCCAAGUUUGUUUGGGCUGUCAAGGUGCCUUUGAAAAUAAAAGUGUUUAUGUGGUUUGUCCAUAAACAAGUUAUUUUAACAAAGGACAACUUGAUUAAACGCAAUUGGACAGGACCUACUAGGUGUAGUUUCUGUGAUCGGGAUGAGACGAUUAAGCAUUUAUUCUUUGAUUGCCCGUUGGCUAGAGUUCUUUGGCGGACGAUCCAUAUUGCUUUUAAUCUUACUCCACCGACUUCUGUCAAUACUUUAUUUGGGACAUGGCUUAAUGGGGUUGAGUCUGUUCUCGCAAGACAUAUUCGGGUUGGAGUAUGCACUUUGUUAUGGACUAUCUGGAAUUGCAGAAAUGAUUUGGUUUUUAACAGAACAUCACGGAUUCAUUUUUUGCAGGUUAUUUUCCGAGCUACGACACUGAUCCGUUCGUGGUCGCUACUCACUCCGAUGGAGGCCAGGGAGCAUUUGGUUACUGGAUCUGUCCGUUGGGAGAUGGUCGCUCGGGAUAUCUUCAACCGGUUUGGAUGGCGGUCAUGUAAUAGGAUAGGCAAUUAGCUUUCCUAUCUAUUGUUAGCCAGCCGGUUGUGGCAUCUUUUUGGGCUAGUUUGUAUAUCUAGUCGUCUGUAGCUCUGUGUGAGCUGCAUUCCUCUUUUUCCUUUUUGUUUAGCUGGAGAAUGUGGAACCUUGUUAGCACUUUUGCCUUUUUUUGGUUAAUAAGAUGGCCGUAUGCAUCGUUUUGAUGCAGAGGCCGGGGAGACCCCCCUUUUCGAAAAAAAACAUAGUGCUAAAGUGAUUGCGCCAAAGUAACACACAAACCUCUUCUUCCUUCGUAUCCUCUCGCAAACAUGAUAGCCUGAAGUGUUAAUAAAAAAGCUCGCGUGUUUAUCAAUUAUGUGGAAAAUUACUUGUCAAUAAUGGUGUCUCACGUGUUUAUCAAUUAUGUGGAAAAUUACGUGUCAAUAAUGGUGUCACUCCCGUGACUGAUCAUAGUCACUAGAGGCAUGUAAUGGAGCUAUUUAAGUAGUUGUUUCUGCUAUUUUAGUUGAUCAGUCUUCUAAACCCUAAUAAGAUACUUAAAAUAGAAGGUUGGGUCUGUUGUUCCUUUUUUUAUUUGAACAAGCAUUUAAGAUGCAUGUCAUAUUGCUAAUAUCCCCCUCCAACACCAUUCUCAAUUUACUGCUAGCAAUGUCACCUUCCUGCCACCUAUUGUUUAGCACACUGCAAUAAAGGGUCCUAACAAAUACGACCAAAAACUGCAUACUCUUAAGCUAUAUAGGUAGGUAUAGUUACCCAUGAGGAGUAAGUGAGUUGCCAUGUAGAAACUGAUGAAUAAGACUCCCUACAAAUCAAUGCAAGAGUGCAAAGUAAAUACCGUGUAGAUAAUACUGGUGACUAAAAAAAUUGCACAUACAUAAAUAGUCAGUACUUAGUACUUACAUUUAGCACUGUCAACCGCAGAGAACUCAAGGCCACCUUCCAUCUUUGACACAUACUCGCCAAGCUCCAUUAUAAGUGUAUCAUGGGAUUUAUUACCAAGCGCCUCAGAUAGUGCCAUAUCCUAAUGAUGCAUAUCACAUAAUUAUCAUUACACGACAAAAGAUCACAGUACUACCAUAUCCACACAAAAUACAAAAUAUCACACUAAGAAAGAAUUACCCGCGGAUCCACGACCCAGCCACGAAAAAGAGAUGCACCGGAGAGUUCAGAUAUACCUACUGUAUCAUCCUCACCUAUCUUCGCAAAAGCUCUAGUACUGCAUUCAACAGAACAAAUAAUUACAACACAAUGAAGAAAAAGUUGUGAACUGCAAACUGAUAGUCCAUUCCAACCAACCUAGUGAAAUUCACAUUAACCAGUGCCCCUUUCACAUAAGACGUUAGUCCUUUUGUCACAAACGAUUGCAUUGAGGUAUCCCACACCAACUCAGGAUGGCUCGUGGAGAUGUGCGACUUGAGCCGGCUGAGCAGGUAGUUCUCCGAAACUUCACCCAUAUCAUUUAGGAUAUCCAAUUUGAUCUUACCAGUCAGUAACAAGGAAUUGCCUGCAAAUAAGUUAAACCCAGGUAAAUUCGAGAUGGUGUAACAGAUCUUAUUAAGAAAUGAUGCUUAAUUAAGUAGUCAUACAAAUCCCUAAGAGGGCACACGGUCCAUCGUCCUCCUGGUAGACAAUGUGUGUGAGGUGGCCCUCAAAGUGUAUCUGCCUCGUCUUGUAUGUCCUCUCUGAGACCUGGUUGGCAUCGGGUGGCUCUGAGGGCAGAUGGUCCAUGACCAAUUCCUGCAAGAUUAAAAGAUAGCAUUAGCAGUGUUAUAUCCUAAAUCAGAGGAAAACAUGAUACAUUCUAUUAGAAUAGAUAACCUCUUAAAAGCUCAUUAAUCUCCUUAGGUAUUCCUCGUUGUUGGUAUUAUCAGGUUCGGCUUGAAUCAUCUUAAAGACCUGGAUACAUAUGAAACUGGUAUAUAAUCUAGGUCCACCACUGCACAAUUUUUUGGUUCAACAACAUACCGACUGGUAAAAUGUGCAGAUUUCCAGCUGGUCAAGAUCGCUCGUCAGUGUAUUCAGAUAUCCAGCCCUCUUAGUGUCAUCAGAUUCGGCCAGAAUCAUCUUACCAACCUGGAUAAAGAUAACAAAACGUAAUCAGAAUUAUUAUUAUUAUUAUUAUUAUUAUUAUUAUUAUUAUUAUUAUUAUUAUUAUUAUUAUUAUUAUUAUUAUUAUUAUUAUAUAGAUAACCCAGUGCACUGCAUAAUCAAAACAUACCAGUUGAAAGAAUGGAUUGAUCCUGGUAGGUGUAUGAUGUGCAACCAAAGCACGAAGGUUCAAUAGAAGUUUCAGAAGAAAAAGUUCAUUUUCACCUGCCUGCAUAACCAUGAAGAAACAUGAAAUCAGACCGUAACAGUUAUGCAUCACCUAUAAAUGCACUUGUUCAUGUGUCUCGUAUCAAAGUAAAUAAGAACUUUGUAGCCAACUAGCCAUCAUCACGACUUCAAACAUCAAACAAAAAUCCUCUGCAGUUGCCAUGUACUACCUUCAUUCCUAAAUAUAAGGCGUUGCCCCAACAUCUUAUAUUUAGGAAUGGAGGUAGUAUAAAUUAUGAACCAGACUCAACUCGUUGUUCAGUGUCAAUUAUCUCAGGCAGUAGCUCAUAAAUAACAAUAUUAAUUCGAAACUUGUCUAAGGCACAACUCCAGAUCCUAAUGAUAAGAGUUUAAACUAAACCUUUGAGCCUGAGUGGAACUGUAUAAAAGAAGGAAACAUCAUAGUGCGCUAAAUAAUCAAAGGGUUUGAGCUAAACCCUUCACUACAGGAAAAAACUUAUAAGCCGUGUACCUAAUACACUCGGCUUACAUCGAUUUAAACUCGGUUUACAUAUAAGCCGAGUAAAACACCCGGCUUAUAGCACUCGGUUUACAGUCGACCGGCUUAUAUCAUAUAAGCCGAGAGCUGGACCGAAAAAACCUGGCUUAUGUAUAAACCGAGUAUUUUUAAAGGGCUCUCGGUUUAAUAAAGUAACAUGACGGUAGCCUGCUGUUAACGGCCACGUGUCACCGUCUAUAUAAGUCGAGUGCCGUCUUCCGGGCACGGUUUAUAUAUAAGCCGGGUGCAACCGCGAACGCACGGUUUAUAUAUAAGCCGGGUGUAACCAGGAAUUGCAUGGUUUAUAUAUAAGCCGGGUGCAACCACGAACCGCACGGUUUAUAUAUAAGCCAGGUGCAACCGCGAACCGCACGGUUACUAUAUAAGCCGAGUUCCUCCGACAACAGCACAGUUAUAUACAUAUAUAAGCCGGGUGCUGGUUAACUGAGGCACACGGCUUAUACAGCCUGCCCGUGUAACCAUAUGGUCUAUAAGCCAGGUGCUUGGUGCUGGGCUACACGACUUAUAGGUUGGCCGCAGCUAUAUGUCUUAUAAGCCGGGUGUCAGAUAGCUGGGCUACACGGCUUAUAAGCCUUAUAACAUUUUUUUGGUACUCGCUUCAGGGAGCAGCAACAACAUAUAUGCAGUAGUACAUCUAUCCAGCAACACAUAUAUCCAGCAGUACAUGACCAUGACCAACAAAUAUAUAUCCAGUAAUACAUAUAUCCAUCCGUACAUGAGUGCAAAGUCCACAUAUGCAACAAAAGAUCACAAACGAAAGGACCGUAAGUUUCAGGUCCACACAGUGCAUACAUAUCCAACGAAGGUUCACAACAACAUACAUACAUAUGCAACCAGAGGUUCACAAAUUAAAGGAUCAUGAGUUCCAAGUUCACACCAAGCAUGAACCAUGCAGUGAGCUCCACCGCAGCAUAUAUGCCCACCGUCAACGCCAUCCACAAUGCAAACCUAUAAGUCCAUUCUCACACGCAUGAGUUUGAGUUUCUAAAGUUAAGUUGCAAAGAUGGAUAAGGCAUAAGAGUCAACAAGAAUCAACAUAUGAGGCUUAAAUAGAAGCUAGGAAGUAUGUACAAUAUAAGCAUCAACACUUGUGGACUCUACCAUCAACAAUGCACAAGUUUUAAGUUGAGAAGCACAAGCAACGAGAAGACGCAAGCAUCAACAAUGGACAAACAUAGACAACUACCUCAAGUGAUCAUUGUUGCGGGGAGGUCGAAGCGACAUGAACCGUAGUGGGUGUCACUGGACUUGCUUGGCCAGGUGAAGAUCCACCUACCACACAGUUAUUGGAGCCUUGUCCCGACUGAGAAAACUUGAAGCACGAGAGGAUGAGAUGGUAAGAUUCAUGAUCUUCAAGCAUGAAGGUAAGAUGCAUGAUUGAAAAGUUGGAAGACUUACAAAGUUGAAAUUAGGAAGAGUCGGAAGAGGAGGAAGAACGGGCAAAAUGGAACCCUGCAUAUUAUUUAUGAGUUGAGCAAAUGUCUCCUGCAGGAUUGCCUGUUGUUUAACCAUGAAUUCUUGCUGUUGAAACAGGG
rnacentral:lncRNA from 1 species